rnacentral:lncRNA from 1 species
UUUUUUCAUGUCAUGCAUCUCAUAUCAUGUCAUCAUGUGCAUCUCAUUUGCAUACAUGUUCGUCUCUUGCAUCCGAGCAUUUUCCCCGUUGUCCGUUUUGCAAUCCGACACUCCCACAUGCACCGGCGCACCCCUCUUGUCUCUUUUCGUGAGCGGGUGUUAAACGUUCUCGGAAUGGACCGAGGUUUGUCAAGUGGCCUUGGUACACCACCGGUAGACCACCUGUCAAGUUUCGUCCCAUUUGGAGGUCGUUUGAUGCUCCAACGGUUAACCGGGUAACCGCAAGGUCCUUUUGUGUGUUGCAGCAAAACCCCCUCCAAACAGUCCAAUAACCCCUCUAAGUCCCCUCCAUGCUCUCCGUCGUCGGAUUACGAUCGUGUGGGCGAAAACCGCACUCCAUUUGGAGUCUCCUAGCUCCCUCUACCUAUAAAUAUGUGCUUCCUCCUCCAAAUUCCGGGUCCCGAAACCCUAGCCUCGUUCCCUCCGUGCACCGGACACGUCCGCCCGGCGCCGAACGAAACCCGCCGCCGCGCCCGACCAACCAGGAGCCGCCACGUGGCGCGCCACCGUUCCCCGCGUCACCGGCCCGCUCGGCCCGCGCUCGGCCCCCCGAGCCCAUCUUCGCCGCCUCCACCCGCAGGAGCNNNNNNNNNNNNNNNNNNNNNNNNNNNNNNNNNNNNNNNNNNNNNNNNNNNNNNNNNNNNNNNNNNNNNNNNNNNNNNNNNNNNNNNNNNNNNNNNNNNNNNNNNNNNNNNNNNNNNNNNNNNNNNNNNNNNNNNNNNNNNNNNNNNNNNNNNNNNNNNNNNNNNNNNNNNNNNNNNNNNNNNNNNNNNNNNNNNNNNNNNNNNNNNNNNNNNNNNNNNNNNNNNNNNNNNNNNNNNNNNNNNNNNNNNNNNNNNNNNNNNNNNNNNNNNNNNNNNNNNNNNNNNNNNNNNNNNNNNNNNNNNNCGCGCCGCCGCCCGUCCGCCUCCACGCCCGCGCCUCCGCCUCCCUCUCCGGUCGCCGGAUCCGCCUCCCUCCUCUCCAACUCCGCCGACCGCCGCCGCCCUCUUCCGCCUCUUCUCCGGCGAGCAGCAGCUCCCUCUCCGGCGAGCCGCGCCAGAUCUCGAUCUGGAUCCGCGAGGUUGACCUCUCCCCUCCCCUCGAUUUUCUCCGUCCUAAAAAUAUUGCACUCUGUUGCCAUGUUCUCUACAUCAUAACUCCUUGUACAUAGCUCCGUUUUGUGUGUGUAAUAUAUCGAAAUGUUCACUACGAGAUGCUCUUCAUUUUGUUCCAUUGUGUCAUGCUCGUUUGAGUCCAUCUUGAUGCCCAAAUCUCUGGUGCAAGAGUGCUAUGUGAUGUUUACUGCUGUUACUUAUCAGAACUUGGUGAUUUGUUAUUUUUGUUGCAAUUGAUAUGUGCAUCUUAUGAGCAUGAGCUCUACAGGUGUUUUGAUCUAUGCUAUGCCAUCUUUACAGAGGUGUAUGCCAUGUAUUUUUGUGAUCUAUGUGGUGACUAGCACAAGCAUGCAAACUAGGCUUCGUGAUGUUUCUGUUUUCAGGGACUUAGGAUUUUCACCAAGUCUGUUACUGCUGUUAUUUUGUUGCCAUGUAUCCAUGUGGCUACAGUGAGGUCCAUUCUUCUUUUGGGCAUGUUAAGUAAGGAUGUUUUGUAGAUAUAGUUGUGCGCUAUCCAUCCAUGCCCCUGUUUGCAAUUAUGGAGUCCCAUAGCAUGUCUUAAUCUUGCUCUACUUUUGCUAUAAAAUAUUUCUGGCAGAAUGUCAACAUGAUAUUCAAUUUUGCCAAGGUUGUUGUAGUUGAUCCAUACAUGCUAUGAACUUGCUCUUUCCAUGGAUAGCUUCAUAAACAUGCCAUCUUGCUGUAGGUAUGCUUUUUUUGUCAUGCAUUGCUUUGUGUUGACUGAAUCAAGCUCACCAAGAUGCCUUCAUAAUUCUGUUUACUGCCAUGCUCUGUUUUCUGCCAAGUCUGAAACCUGUUAACGAAACUUGCUAUGUUUACUUGGGUGUCAUCAUAUCUUCUGGUCCUUUUUGGCUCAUGAUCAGUAAGGGAUUUUUGUUCUAUGCAUUUAGUAGAGUCAUGCCAUGCCUUGUUUUGCUAUGAUAAGUUCGUGUAGCAUGUGUUUUGCUUCCUCUGAACAUUGCUACCUGAUGUUGUUUAUGCCAUGUCCAGUAAUUUCACUGUCUGUGAUCCUGAUAUCUUUUGCACUUUUGCCAUGCUUGUUUGAACCUGUUAUUGUGUGAUCUAGCCGUAGCUCAGUGUUCAUCUUUUGUCAAGCAUCUCCUGUAGAUUACUGCCAUAUGCUUUGUUGCUAUGUUGGGGUGCUGUAUGGUUACUUGAUGUAUUCUAAGUGCUAUCAUGGUGUUAAUCGCAGAAUCGUGUCAUUCUUGUUUUGCUCGCCAUUUGCAAACCGUGCAUCCGUUUCCGGUGAUCUUUAUAUCAAUUUCGACCGAAAUCAUCUCAUAUUUCCAGUGGCAUACUUGGUUUUCCAAGCUACUGCCUUGUUCAUCCUUUUUCUUCCGAAGCACGCAUACGCAUUGAAUAUCAUGUCUCGCAUAUCAUGCAUGUAGUGCAUCAUGUUGCUUGUGCUUUUCCCGUGAUUGAUUGUGGUUCCAUUACUUGUUUUCUUGUUGUGGGUAGAGCCGGGAGACGAGUUCGUGAACGAGGUACCUGUUGAGUACGCUUAUGAGGAUCAAGCUUUCGACAACUCUGAGAACCUUGCAGGCAAGAUGACCAUACCCUCGAAAUCACUUCUAUCUUUGCUUUGCUAGUUGUUCGUUCUAUUGCCAUGCUGCGCUACCUACCACUUGCUAUAUCAUGCCUCCCAUAUUUCCAUGUCAAGCCUCUAACCAUCCUUUCCUAGCAAACCGUUGUUUGGCUAAGUUACCGCUUUUGCUCAGCCCUUCUUAUAGCGUUGCUAGUUGCAGGUGCAGUUGAAGUUGGUUCCAUGUUGGAACAUGGAUAUUUUGGAAUAUCACAAUAUAUCUUAUUUUAAUUAAUGCAUCUAUAUAUUUGGUAAAAGGUGGAAGGCUCGGCCUUAUGCCUGGUGUUUUGUUCCACUCUUGCCGCCCUAGUUUUCCGUCAUACCGGUAUUAUGUUCCUUGAGUUUGCGUUCCUUACGCGGUUGGGUGAUUUAUGGGACCCCCUUGACAGUUCGCCUUGAAUAAAACUCCUCCAGCAAGGCCCAACCUUGGUUUUACCAUUUGCCACCUAAGCCUUCUUCCCUCGGGUUUUCGCGAGCCCGAGGGUCAUCUUUAUUUUAACCCCCGGGCCAGUGCUCCUCUGAGUGCUGGUCCAAACUAGAGCCACUUGCAGCGCCACCUCGGGGAAACUCGAGGGCUGGUUUUAGUUGUACGUAGUGUUCAUCCGGUGUGCCCUGAGAACGAGAUAUGUGCAGCUCCUAUCGGGAUUUGUCGGCACAUCUGGCGGCUUUGCUGGUCUUGUUUUACCAUUGUCGAAAUGUCUUGUAAACCGGGAUUCCGAGACUGAUCGGGUCUUCCCGGGAGAAGGUUUAUCCUUUGUUGACCGUGAGAGCUUAUAAUGGGCUAAGUUGGGACACCCCUGCAGGGUAUUAUCUUUCGAAAGCCGUGCCCGCGGUUAUGAGGCAGAUGGGAAUUUGUUAAUGUCCGGUUGUAGAGAACUUGACACUUGACUUAUUUAAAAUACAUCAACCGUGUGUGUAGCCGUGAUGGUCUCUUCUCGGCGGAGUCCGGGAAGUGAACACGGUUUGAGUUAUGAAUGAACAUAAGUAGUUUCAGGAUCACUUCUUGAUCAUUUCUAGCUUCGCGACCGUUGCGUUGCUUCUCUUCUCGCUCUCAUUUGCGUAUGUUAGCCACCAUAUAUGCUUAGUGCUUGCUGCAGCUCCACCUUUACACCAUCCUUUCCUAUAAGCUUAAAUAGUCCUGAUCUCGCGGGUGUGAGAUUGCUGAGUCCUCGUGACUCACAGAUUCUACCAAAACAGUUGCAGGUGCCGACGAUACCAGUGCAGAUGAUGCAACCGAGCUCAAGUGGGAGUUCGACGACGAACGUGGUCGUUACUAUGUUUCUUUUCCGGAUGAUCAGUAGUGGAGCCCAGUUGGGACGAUCGGGGAUCUAGCAUUUGGGGUUAUCUUAUUUUCAUUUGGAUUUGACCGUAGUUGGUCCAUGUGUGGAUUUUGGAUGAUGUAUGAAUUAAUUUAUGUAUUGUGUGAAGUGGCAAUUGUAAGCCAAUUCUCAUUAUCCCAUUCUUGUUCAUUACAUGGGAUUGUGUGAAGAUGACCCUUCUUGCGACAAUACCUACAAUGCGGUUAUGCCUCUAAGUCGUGCCUCGACACGUGGGAGAUAUAGCCGCAUCGUGGGCGUUACAGAUGCUAGUGCUCAUCCAAGGCCCUAAGCAACCCGACAACGACAUUAGUUGAAGAACUCUUACAACUGUGGAAUGGAACAGGUGUACGUACGUGGGAUGAGCACGGAUAGCAAGUAUUUGACUUAAAGGUGUUGCUGUUCGUGACCAUCAAUUAUUGGCCUGCUCUCAGUAACCUUUCAUGACAGACAAACAAGGGAUACCGCGCAUGCACGCACUGUUUGGAUGAUACCGACAGUAUAUAUUUGGAUAAUUGUAGGAAGAAUGUGUACCUGGGACAUCGUCGAUUUCUUCCGAGCAGGCAUCCCGUAAGAAAGAAAGGCAAGAAUUUCAAAGGUGAGGCGGAUCACCGGACGAAGCCUCGCCACCGUACUGGUGCUGAUGUACAUGAUAUGGUCAAGGAUUUGAAGGUAGUCUUUGGAAAGGGUCCUGGCGGACAACCUGUUCCGAAUGACGCUGACGGACGCGCACCCAUGUGGAAGAAGAAAUCUAUAUUUUGGGACCUGCCCUAUUGGAAAUACCUAGAGGUCCGCUCCGCAAUCGACGUGAUGCACGUGACGAAGAAUCUUUGCAUGACCCUGCUUGGCUUCUUGGGCAUGUAUGGGAAGACAAAAGAUACACAAGAGGCACAGGAGGACCAGCAACGUAUGCACGGAAAAGACGGCAUACAUCAGGGUCAUGCCAGCUACGCUCUAACCAAAGAAGAGAAGGAAAUCUUCUUUGAAUGCCUGCUCAGUAUUAAGGUACCGUCUGGCUUCUCGUCGAAUAUAAAGGGAAUAGUAAAUAUGGUAGAGAAAAAGUUCCAGAACCUAAAGUCUCAUGACUUCCACGUCAUUAUGACGCAACUGCUUCCGGUUGCAUUGAGGGGGCUUCUACCGGAAAACAUUCGAUUAGCCAUUGUGAAGCUAUGUGCAUUCCUCAAUAUAAUCUCUCAGAACGUAAUCAAUCCAGAAAUCAUACCAAGGUUAGAAAUGAUUUGGUGCAAUGUCUUAUCAGUUUCGAGUUGGUGUUUCCACCAUCCUUCUUCAACAUCAUGACGCACGUCCUAGUUCACCUAUGCGAAGAGAUUAACGUUUUGGGUCCUGUAUUUCUACACAACAUGUUCCCCUUUCAGAGGUUCAUGGGAGUCUUAAAGAAAUAUGUUCAUAACCGUGCUAGGCCAGAAGGAAGCAUCUCCAAGGGCCAUGAAAAUGAGGAGGUCAUUGAGUUUUGUAUUGACUUUAUUGCUGACCUUAAGCCGAUUGGUGUUCCUGAAUCGCGGCAUAAGGGUAGACUGGCUGGAAAAGGCAUGCUAGGAGGGGAUCAAAUAAUAUGUAUGGACGGACAUUCUCUCACUCAAGCACACUACACAGUUUUACAGAAUUCCGCCUUGGUGGCUCCGUAUAUGGACGAACACAAGAAUUUUCUACGCUCCAAACACCCGGGGCGGUCUGAUGACUGGAUUACACGUGAACAAACGGGGACUUUCGCCGGCUAGUUGCAGACACGUGCCAUGCAUGACGCCGCUAUUGAAGAUGAACUGUAAUCACUAUCCCAGUUACCAUCUUCGAAUAUAAUGACUUUCAAAGGGUACGAGAUAAAUGGAAAUACAUUUUACACGAUCGCCCAAGAUAAGAAGAGCACCAACUAAAACAGUGGUGUCCGCUUUGAUGCAGCGACCAAGACGGGAAAGGAAACAUAUUAUGGUUACAUAGAGGACAUAUGGGAACUUGACUAUGGACGUGGUUUGAAGGUCCCUUUGUUUCGGUGCAAAUGGGUCAAUAUGACACGAGGCGGGGUAACGGAAGCCCCGCAGUACGGAAUGACAACAAUGGAUCUCAACAAUCUUGCUUAUGCAGAUGAACCAUUCGUCCUAGCCAAUGAUGUGGCACAGGUUUUCUAUGUGAAGGACAUGUCUACCAAGCCGAGAAAAAGAAAAUAUAAGGAAGCGAAUGCAUCAUACGAUGAGCCAAAGCGCCACAUAGUUUUUUCUGGGAAGAGAAACAUCAUGGUAGUGGAUGACAAGACAGACAUGUCAGAAGAUUAUGAAAAGUUUGAUGAAAUUGCUCCAUUCACAGUGAAUAUUGACCCGAGCAUCCAGUUAAAUGAUGAAGAUUUUCCAUGGUUACGGCACAAAGGGACACACACGAAGAAAAAGUUUCACACCCAAAGAUCUGGGAUGUGAUCGGCUUCACUAUCAUCACUUUCUUCUGUGUUUCAAACCCAGGAGGGAAUCCCUGUAAUAGUUAGGGUAGUUAUGUGUUUUGGCAUUUGAAACGCAAAGAAAUUUUAUUUGCAAACAAAUUCUUUCAUGCAUUUACUGAUUUUUUCAGCUAAAUGACCCUGAAAUUGAAAAACACUUCAAAUGAACUCCGAAAAGGUUGAAAGUUGGCAUGGUAUCAUAAUUUCACCCACAUAGCUUGUGCAAAAAAGUAGAGAGGGUUACGGCAAAAACUGGAUGCACUUCGUGUACAAAAUGGGCAAUCUCUUUCGAAGUAUGAGGGUUUCGAACGAAAACUCAUCUGUUACAAAGGCAUUUCAUUUUUUAAAUAACCUAAGUAUUACCAAAUUGAAUAUAAUGAUAAAACACACUAAUAUUAAACAUAAGAAAAAAGAAUCACUGGAAAAUCUAUUUUUAAAGUUAAGUUAUUCACAAACUAGUGAUUCACACAAAUUUCAAAUAAUUCAAAAUUUAAACUAUUCAAAUUUAAAAACUACCAGCACUAAUAGAAAGUUUGUAAUUUUUUGUACCUAAAGCAAAAAUAUUCACAAAGAAACUCUAAAUACAGCAAAAAACAACUAAAAAAUAAAUAAAACAAAAUAAAUAAAGCAGAAAAGAAAAAAGAAAAAAACUAAAUAAAGAAAUCCCACCUACUGGGCCACAGCGGCCUGCAUACGACUAGAAACCCAUAUUCUACUUGGGCCAGGAUGCAGGCCCGCUAGACCAGUAGGCCCAACAGGGCAUCGCAACAAAGGUAGGCCUAGAAGGCCUGCUUUAGAGAGGAGCUCGAGACAGCAGCGGCGACGGGGCUUAUAAGCAAGUGCGAGCACCCCUCGGCUAGCGAGGUGGGACUAAACUUCUGCGCCCCUCGCCUGGCAGCGCACCCCUUUUAGUAUCGGGUCGUGGCUCCAACCGGUACUAAAGGGGGGUCUUUAGUACCGGUUGGAGCCACCACCCGGUACUAAAGGCCUGCCCUUCCCGCCGCUUGGCCUGGCCAAAACAGGCCUUUAGUACCGGUUGGUGGCUCCAACCGGUACUAAAGGUGCCUCCUAUAUAAGAAACAGUUCGAAAAAUUUCAGUUUCUCAUCUCCCACUUCUCUCGGCCGCCGCCCCGUCCCGCGCCGUCGCUGCCCCUGUCGCGCCGCCCCCGUCCUCAUCGCGUCGUCCCCGUCGCCGGCCUGUCCCGUCGCCGCACCGGCCCGUCGCCGCCCCCUCACCUCGCCAUCGCCUUGGACCGACCUCGCCUCGCCGUCGNNNNNNNNNNNNNNNNNNNNNNNNNNNNNNNNNNNNNNNNNNNNNNNNNNNNNNNNNNNNNNNNNNNNNNNNNNNNNNNNNNNNNNNNNNNNNNNNNNNNNNNNNNNNNNNNNNNNNNNNNNNNNNNNNNNNNNNNNNNNNNNNNNNNNNNNNNNNNNNNNNNNNNNNNNNNNNNNNNNNNNNNNNNNNNNNNNNNNNNNNNNNCGUAGCUCUGCACACACGCGCGCACACACACACACUACACACACGCGCGCGCACACACACAAUUUUUUAGUUUUUAGUUUUUAGUUUUUUCUGUUUUUCUGUUUUGCAUACAAAGUUUUAGAUGAAUUAAUUAAUUAGAUUAGAUUAAUGUCAAAUAGUAUAUAGAAAUGUUAGUUAUAAUAUAUAUAAUGUCAAAGGUUUUUCUGUUUUUAUACAAAUAUUAUAAAUGUUAUAGAAAUGUUAGUUAUAUAGAAAUGUUAGAAAUUUUAGAAGUGUUAGUUUUAGCUAGAUGAAUUAGAUUAAUUUCAAAUUGUUAGACGAUGAUCGAUGUUUUUUUAGUUUCUUAUAAUUUUAGUUAUAGAAAUUUAGAAUUUGUAUAUAAGAAAUCACAAUCCAAUAAUUUAAAAAAUGUUACAUUUGCAUAUAGUAUUUGUUUUCGACGAUGCCCAGCCCACAUCCUCGCCGUCGACCCGUUCGUGACGACGUCCUGCUUCAGAGGACCCAUGUCCGGGACUGGGCUCCGCCGGGCUGGCACUGGUAGCUGCUACCUUCAGGGGCGCGCCGCUUGGUGAGGAACCCGGCCCCGGGUCCCGUCGUCGACCCUGAUCUCCUUUGGUGGCGUUCGCGUGGGCCACGUUCAGUGCAGAGGGAGCCGGCCCCGCCGGAGGUGGUGUGUCGCCGUGUCAGGGAGGAGGACGAGCAUGUCCGUCGCUACAUGGCUGCUAUGGACGUCAGGUUCUCCAAUACCUGGCAGGUUCUUUGGGAAGAUGACCGGAGCUAUGAUCCUGUGAUGGUUCCUUCUCUUUGGGUGUCCACCACCCGCGCCUUAGGAACCGCGAGUGGCCUAGAUUCUUCUGUAGUAUUUGAUCUUUAUUAGCUAGCUAGCUAGUGAUGUAUUCGAUAUAUAAUAUUCGAGACGAUGUAUUCGAGAUUAUAUAUUAUUGGAGACGAUGUAUUCGAGAUUAUAUAUUAUUCGAGACGAUGCAUAUUAUGUACUAUGAUUCAGUUUUUCCUUAUUGAUUGCAUCCAUGCAUUGUAAUCUGAAUACUAAAUUGUUUCAUAUUUCUUCUGGAUUAGUUAAAUAAAAGCUAUGGCGGACAAUACCGGCAGAGAGGGAGAAGAGACCCUAUUCGAGAUCAUACGCAGCCCUCGCGGGCCAGAUGAUCAGAAUGAAGAAGAUGACGGCUCCCAAUAUCUGAACAAUACCGGGGAGGGUGAUGAUAUGAUAUUCGAUCGCGACGACCGAAUUGAUGAAGUCAUGAACUAUGAUUAUGAUUAUGAUGACGCCAACAAUGUUGAUCUUGAAAUAAUAGAGACCGGCGAGAUAUAUUUAUAUAAGCAGGCAUCUCGUGAUCAUCACAUGUUUUUUUAUUUGAAGAUAUAUUAAGGAAUCGAUCUUUCUUCUUUCAGCCCUCCGGAUCGAGCAAAUCUGCAUCUACAGGCAGCAGGACAGUGCGAGGCCCGAGCAAAAAGUUGGAGGGCGUGAAGUACAACAUCAAUGCCAUCAAAACUAAUGGCGAACCACUAGCACCUAAGAACAUUGCGAACAAGUUUGUUCGUCAGUGCGGAGUUCUUGUGAAGGACCAACUCCCGAUCUCCCUUCAAGAAUGGAAAGAGCCAGCAAAGAAACGUCCAGAUCUUACUUGGGUCGACGACAGAGCAAAAAAACGCUUUGGGAAUCUCUCAUGGAACAUUUCACCCUACCAGAUCAUUUCACUGAUGCAGAUGUGGAGAAAGUCAAGGACGCUGCUCUUAGGAAGAUGGCAAUUGCAUUCAACACCCACAAUAAAACUAUAUGGGCCAAGUACGUCGAAGGAGGAAAGAAGACUCUAGAAUUCAAGGGAACACUGGAGAAGCAAAGAGAACACUGGCCCGCUUUCGUGAAAUUCAAGGAAUCAGAAUUAUCUAAGGAACGGUCGAGAAAAAACAAGGCCAAUGCCACAAAAAAGGAGCAGUUCCAUAGGCUGGGGCCAGGUGGCUAUGCGGUAGCAAUGCCUAAGUGGGAUAAGUCUGAGCAAGGAUGCUGGAUGCAGAGGUCACUCCAGUUACUAGGAGCUGGCCCCCAGGUGCAGAACUUGGUUCUAUGCGCAUGGGGGCGUUGGACCCGAAGAUAGACCUGGUUUCGAAGAAGGCAAGUCUAUAAGGAGCCGAAGAUAAGUUACUUCAAGCAAUAGAAGAUGCUCGAAAGGGGGUGUUCACACCCAACAGAGAGAACGACGAGCUUACGCGCGCCCUGGGAAAUCCUGAACACGCGGGAAGAACACGAGGCAAGGGCGUUGUUCCGUGGUAUGAGGGCUUUUCGGACUGGAACGCCGACUACAGAAGCCGUGCAAGAAGGAAGAUGGAGGAGGAGGAGGAGAAGAGGAAGCUGGAGGAAGAGCACAGGAAGCAGGAAGCAGAACGCCUUCAAGGCCUAGAAUCAGCGCACGCGGACUUGGCACUCAAAUUCCAGCUGCAGCAGCAGCAGAUCGACUCACUUAGCCAGGAAAGGGGGUCUCAGCAGUGGCAGCAGCUAGCGGAUGAUCCAGCAUUGGAUAGCACCGUCCCAUCCAUGCCGAGAAGCAGUGUUGGUUCCGCCCCGGACGACGCACUGCUGGAUAGAUACCCUGUGGAUGACAUCAUGGAGAGCACUAACUGUGAGCUACACUUGUAAAUGAAGAACAUAUCCAUGAAGGUGGCGGACGCCAUUGCUUAUACAAAUUCCCCCGAUGCAACCUUCCAUUGCAACCCGAUUCCAGCCGGCUAUGCUCGUGUCGUGGUUGAUGAGGUGGCGGACCAAUAUUCGGGGCUAGAGCUUGACAUUCCUGGAGGUGACGAGGAGCACACACUGGGAGAGGCCAAACAUCGUAUCAUCCUAUGGAGAAAGGAUUGCAUCAUAUUUCGAAGGCCACCGACACCGCGUCAGCCGACUCCUCCUCGAAGUCCGCCACCGCGUCAGCAGACUCCCGCUCCUCCAAGUCCACCAAUGCGUCAGGCCACUCCUCCUCCUCCAAGUCCGACACAGCGUCAGGCCACUCCUCCUGCUUCAAGUCCGGCACAGCGUCAGACCACUCCUCCUACUUCAAGUCCGGCACAGUGUCAGACCACUCCUCCUGCUUCAAGUCCGGCACACCGUCAGGCCACUCCUCCUGCUCCAACUCAGCCACGUCAGCUGUCUCCGCCGCCUCAGCAAUUGGGGAAGAGAGCCGUCGCAGCUAUGGUGCGUAGCGGUACGAGGUGAGGUAGUACAUGAGGUACAGGCGGAGGCAAGCGAUAUAAAUAUGGUCCAAGCCUCGCUCCUCUUCCUCAGAGGCCUUAUGACAUGACCAAGGAGCAAAACGCAGCCAUAGUGAAGGCCCAUUUUGGACCGAAACCGGCACCGCCGCCAAGGGAGAAAGUGCCUGAGGAAAAGAUUGACCACUUUAUUUGUAUGGCUAGACCACCAGCUCCUAAGCCUGUUGACUCAGACUAUGAGCGCCAAAUCAGGAAGGCACAUCGAGCACGAGUACAGAAGGAGUCGAGCUCGAGCUCGAGCCAAGCAGCUGGCAAAAAAUGCGGGAAAACCGUUCCCCAGCUAGGAGAACAGGCGGCGCAAUCGAUCCCCCGCUUGUUGUGCCAACACAUGAGAGUACCGGCGCCCUAUAUAUAUGUGGGCAAACCGUUCCUCAGCUGGGCAAUCUGGUAAUAACCGAGGAGCAUAUAAGGCAUGCUGAAAUGCUCGGUAUCACUGUUGGACAACUCCUCGAGAUCGAGCCCAUGUCUUCGCUUAGAGAGGAGGAAAUAAAACGGAAAUAUGUCCGCGGCCAACCUUUGGUCGAGCCCGAGGAGGUCAAGAACCUCGCAACGAGAAUGUAUGAAUUGCAUGAUUGGUACAUGAAAAUUACCAAGAGUUCCAAUCGAGAGUCCCUCAUGGUGAAUGUCAAGUAAGAGCAUUACUUUCAUAAGCUAGCACUGUCCGUUGAGUAUUCGGAACUAUUUCAGUUAUUCAAUCAAGAUGCACUCGACAAAUCUCUCGUCAGUUGCUAUUGUCUGUAAGUGAUUUCUUUCUGUAAUUUAAGUCUCAAGCUAGCUUUAGUGCUCAUUGAUCGAUCAUUACCUGUAAUUAUCCUCACUAUAUUCUUUUUUGUGGUAUUAUGCAGGAUGAAGAUGUAUAAAAUGAAAAAAGCUGGACGCUAUGGCAUUGGGUUCAUCCCAAAUACCAUUAAUGAACACACAUGGAAAUUGAAAUGGUAUAAACAAGAUGUAGAGAAUAAAAUGCUAGAGUUCUUGAAGCGCCUCAAUACCAAUGAAGAUAUACUACUUUCUUACAACUUCCUGUGAGUCACACUGUCUUGUACUACAAAUUCUGUUUUUGCUUACUAGCUAGCAAGGUGUUAAUAAUUAAGUGUAUAGGGUUUAGGGUAGUUGAUUAGUGUUAUGCACAUGCCCGCUUAAUUAAGACAUGCAAACGUGUGCGCAUGCAGUUACCAUUGGAUCUUAUUAGUCAUUAGAGUUGAAGAAGGAAAAGUUGAAGUACUGGACUCACUACUUAAAAAAAGUGACUUCACCAUCUUGAAGGGGAUAGUCGACAGGUAAUUUCAAUCAUUAUUAACUAUAUCUCGGCCUAUUUAGUUCGUCAUUUCCUGAUAUCAACUAUUUAAUAACCUCUUUAUUAAUUUUCUUUGCCGGCGGGCAGGACUUGGGCAAAGUUCAUCAAGGUGACUCCAGACAAAUGGCGACAAAAGUUGUUUUGCUAUCGACCCAAGGUAAGUAAUUAAGUAGUACUAGCUAGCUACCAUCUCUUUAAUUCUUGUUUCAAUACCAUUAAUUAAUUAUCAUGCUUGAUUAAUUAUUAUCUGAUUAAAUUCUAUUCUCGUAAAGGCCUUGAAGUAGGCGCCGGGGACUGAAGUGUGUGCAUACUACAUUUGCGACAACAUUCGCAUGAUGGCGUCCGAAAGGAGCAAAUCUGAUAGACAGCAAUGGGUACGUUUGCCAAAACACUAUUCACAAAUUUUACAUGAUUAUCGAUAUCUAGUCACACAACUAAUACACAUGCAUAUUGAUCUCCUUCUUAACAGUUCAAAGACGUGCGGGACCAGCUCCUACCAACAGAGCGCAUACGAGCACUUCAAGAGGAAAUAGCGGGAUUUUUGCUCGACCAGGUAAUAGAUCUCAAAGGAGAAUACUAUUACCCGCUACCGCCCCCAUGAACCACUCCCAAUUGUCAUCGUGCUUCGAAGGCACCAAGGCAACAUGUAGGAGAAAUUGUAUAUAUACCUAAUUGUAUAUAUAUAUAUAUAUGUGUGUGUGUGUGUGUGUGUGUGAAUAAUGGUGGUUGUGAGACAUUCGAUAAUAUAUAUAUAUAUAUAUAUAUAUAUAUAUGUGGUGGGUCUAUUAUGACAACACCCUUAAGAGUCUUAUUCUGCUAACAAAUUCGUUAUUCUGCUAACACCCCAGGUAACCCAGUCAACCGACCCGACGCGAACUGCACGCACCAAAAAAACCAACCCCACCAGCCCAUCUCUCCCACUUCACCCUCGAUCCCUCCACCUCCCUCCCACUCCCCGUGCCCACGCCCCACCUCCAACCUUCUUCCUCCCCCGACGCGAACUGCAACCACCGUCCCCUCCUGUCACCUUCCUCCGCGCCCGGAGCCACCCCGCCGCCGGCCAUCGCUCCCCAGCCUACCUCGCGCCGUCCUCGCCCCACCCGCGCCGUCCCACCCUCCCCUUCACCAGAUUCGACGUGGCCGCGGCCCCUCUCGCGCCGUCCCACGCCCCCUUUGCCAGAUCCGACGCGGCCGCGGCCCCUUCCGUGCCGCCCACCCUCCCUACGCCGGAUCCGACGCGGCCACGACCCCUCCCCGCCGGAUGUGAGCGCCGCAACCUCCGACGAGGUCCCUCUCAAUCCCACCAAACCACCGGAUCGGUGCAAGGAUCCAGCCCCGUUUGACCAAAUCCGCCUCGAUCCGCGGUCGUGUGGAAGGCAGAGGGGCUCGCCGGAGUUGCCUCCCCGCGAAAGAUGGUAGCCUCGCGCCCCACGCACGUCCUUGGCCCAUGGUCGACGUGCUCCUCCUCCUUGCUCACCAGGUGACCCCGUCCUCCUCUGCUCCUAUAGGCACCAGGCCAGCUCCGCCCUCCUGAUGCGCUGGCACCCCAAUUGCUCUUCUACUUCCCUCGAUCUGCAGCGUCGGCGAACCGGAGUCCGGUGGCGCAUGGCGUGCGGUCCAGUGCGUUCGGCUUUGCAGUAUAUUCUCUUUCCCAAUGGUGACCGCCCCCUUCAGCUCCUCUAAUCUCCCGCCGUGCCUCCCCUUGCCCACCACAUCACGCCGCUGCUUCUCGAAGCCCCGACAUGCCACCACUCGCUUUUCCAAAGGAUCCGCCGUGCCUACCCUUUUUUCUGGUGUGUUUAGUUUUACAGUGUGGUGCAGCUCACUCUUUUUGUUUUUGCAGCUCACUCUUUUCUUGUUUUGCAGCUCACUCUUUUUAUCUUCUGGAAAUCAUUUGCAGUGCACUCAGUAAGAAAAAGAAGAGAACGUCGAUGUUCAUUUGAAGUUUGUUUUGUUGUUUAUGGGAAACGCAGAGAGAAAAGGGUAGUAAGAAUGGAUGGUCACUAUAAGCAAGUCAUUGCCUAGUGCAGUUCUGUUGGGUACCGCAUCGUUGAUUCUGCUGUGUUCUAGAUGGCCGUGUGGCUCAAUUUGUUCUCUCACAUAGUUUACUAUAAAACUCCUUUAUGGUUCACUUGGUAAUCCAAAAAAACAGCUCGAAAAGCAGUUUACUUGUCAUUACAUGUGGUCUCACUUGCUCAAUCUCUGCGGUCCACUCGCCCGGUCUACACAAGUAAAAAAAUACUGAGUUUGAAAAAAACUCACACGGUUUACUUUUACUAGUGUCGCGGCCCGUUUACGAUAGUCCCGAGGUUCACUUUUCAUAUUAUUGUGGUUCACCAACGCUUGACAUGAAGUGCACUCCACCUUUUUUGGCAAAAUCUAUGUCCCACAGAAAAAAAAAAUCAUGCAGUGCACUUGUCCGUCUGAUGAGGUUCACUUUUCAUAAUAUUGCGGUUGACCGGUUAACCAACACUCGACAUGAAGUGCACUCCAAUUCGUUUGGAAAAAUUUACGUCCCAUAAAAAAAAUCAUGCAGUGCACUUGUCUGUCCGAUGAAGUGCGCUUUUUAGUGUGAAGCAGUGUGCUUCACCUCGUUUGGGAAAAUUUAUGUCCCACAAAAAAGAAAUCAUGCAGUGCACUUGUCUGUCCAAUGAAGUACGGUUUUUAGUCUAAAUAAGUGCGGUUUUCUGUCUGAUGCAGUACGGCCCGUUUAUAGUAGUCUCGAGGUUCACUUUUCAUAGUAUUGUGGUUCACCAACGCUUGACAUGGAGUGCACUCCACCUCGUUUGGGAAAAUUUACGUCCCACAAAAAAGAAAUCAUGCAGUGCACUUGUCCGUCUGAUGAAGUGCGGGUUUUAGACUAAAGAAGUGCAGUUUGCUACCUCGUUUGGGAAAUUUAUGUCCCACAAAAAAGAAAUCAUGCAGUGCACUUGUCCGUCUGAUGAAGUGCGGGUUUUGGUCUAAAGAAGUGCGGUUUGCUACCUCGUUUGGGAAAAUUUACGUCCCACAAAAAAUAAAUCAUGCAGUGCACUUGUCGACCGGAUGAAGUACGGUUUUAGUCUGAAAGCAGUGCGGUUUUCUGUCAGAUGCAGUACAUAUGACGAUUUUGGGUCGCGAAAAAACUGAGUGUCUGCAUUUUGUUAAAAUCAAAAUUGCUCUUCAACCGUAAAGAAUUAGAGAGAGUGUUCUACAUGAAAAAGUUGCGCCUCAUCGAUAUUUUUCCAAUGGUGUAUAAUUUGAAUCAUUUCGACCAGCGGUUUGCAAAAAUUUCGCAAAAACGGUCGCUGACUCCCAUCGUCAACCGCACGAUUUUCAAAAUUAACUAAAAACCGUAAGGAAACUCAAAAAUAUUCCAACAUACGAAAGUUGCGCCUUGUCCAUAGCUUUCCAACGGCGUAUCAUACUCCUCGUUUCGGCAAACGGUUCAAAAACCGAAGCUAAAACAGUACCGAAAAUUGAAAAAUAUUCAAAAAAAAGUAAUUCCGCGAUUUAGUAAAUUUGAAACUGCUCUUAAACCGUAACAAAUUAGAAAAAAUAAUAGAUAUGACAAAGAUGCGCCUAUCUUUCCAACGGCGUAUCAUUUGCUUUAUUCCGACAAGCAAUUUAGAAAAAAUCGCGAAAAUACGCUUGCUGCCACUCGUCGUUCGCAACACCAUUUUUGAAACUGCUCUUAAACCGCGAGGAAUCUCGAAAAGUGUUCAACAUGACGAAGUGCGCCUAAUCCAUAGCUUUCCAACGGUAUAUUAUACGCCUCGUUCCGAUUGCAGUUUUUUACGCACGAAGUUCACUAGUGUGUAUUGCAGUGCCCUUGCUACAGAAAGUGCAGUGCACUUGCGUUGAGCGUGCAGUGCGGAAGUGUUAUUAGAAUAGUUAUUCUGCUAAUAUUAGCAUAAUAGACCGGCUGUACAAUAUAUAUAAUCGGUUCUAUGAGAAAUUCUAUUUUUAUAUAUGCAUAAUGUGUACAAUAUGUAGUAUCGUAAAAUACCAGCAAACGAAAAAGAAUUAAAUGGAAAAUACAAAAUUAAAGAAAAAAGAAAUCAUGAAACCAAAACCCCCCAAAUAUUUUAGUACCGGUUGGUGUUACCAACCGGUACUAAAGGGCUCCCCGCCCUCGGCGAUGGCUCGUGCCACAUGGUGGCCCUUUAGCGGCGGUUCGUGUAGAACCAAUACUAAAGGGGGGACCUUUAGUCCCCACCCUUUAGUGCCGGUUGCAGAACCAGCACUAAAGGCCCUUACGAACCGGUGCUAUAGCCCAGUUGUGCACUAGUGUGGCAGCCACAAUCAACAAACUAUGUGUAUGUUGCUCUCUACCAUGCUACAGAGUUUGAUGCUUAUAUUUUGCAUACAUUGGGAGACUCAGAAAGCGGCAAGUGUUCCAGCUAUCUUACAAGGAAAUAAGGGGAAGAAAAACUGGGCACACCCCACUUAUAACCGAUCUUAUGGGGCUGAUUCAAACCAAACAGUUUGUGAGAACAAGUUGUUCUUGCUACAUCAAAUUUCUUCCUCCUGGUAUAUUUGAAAGAUAAAAAGCAGACAAGAUGAGCAGCGCUUGAAUUGAAUGAAGAUUUUAGUGUGCUGGGUGAAAUACUCGAAAGGUAAACUGGAUCAAUUCUAGUAUUUCUUCUAAACAUUGGGUCCUUGAAAAGUGUCGUUCCUCGAAAGUAAUUGUUGUGACCUAGCAUUUUCAUGAUUUCGGGAGGCCUAAAAUAACAAUUUGUUUAAUGUCUAAAAUAGCAUUGGAUGCAUAAGCUAUGUGAAAGAUUCUUUUUUCUCCUCAGAUUCUCUCCAGAAGGCGAUUGGAACAAACAAAACAACAACCACAACUAUGAUCUUGUGCUUGAUAAGAUUCCCACAAGCAUAAAAAGAACGACUAGUUGCAAUAAUGAAACAUUAAGCAUUAGACAAAGUUGUGUGCUAACUAUGAAGGGAAAGACAUAUAUAGCUAGGAUGCAAUAGAAAGUUUACCAUUUCAUAUUGUCGGUACAGACAAGGAUGGUGGGAAGUUGGUAUAUAUGUGCGUCCCGUUCCUGGCGAACUGGAAAGGUUUUGCAGUAACCCUCUCAAGCUGCAUCCGCUUGACAUCAAUUGAAAAAUAUUCCUCUUCUGGCACCCCCAAAACUCCCCAAUCUUUGCUAGGAGCAAGUACCUCCCGGUUGCAGCUUUGAUAAGAUGAUGGUUCCGAGGAAGUGGGAUUGCCUUCUCCAAUUGCCACUGGCUAGAGCUAUCACUUUCGUUUCCCCUAAUGUAAUAACACAUAUCACCUCCGAUUUCGGGGAUAGCAAACAUACCCAGUCUGCCUUCUCCCGCCUCCACAAAGGCUACAACUUCCUCUCUCCAUUCUCUGGGUGGAAGGUCAACAAUGGAGAACUCCAUGCUCCCGGUGUUAAGCAUGAGCAAAUCUUUGUUGAUGGUGUUGAGCUCCCAGUAGAAACAGCCAUAAGCAUAAUGGCGCCUAGAAAAGGCAUAGUCGAUGAGUGAGAUCAUGGUGAACUCACCCGCAGUUUGCCAUCGUCCAGUGCUCGAAGAUAAGACAAAGGCGGCCACCCUACUUAGGCAAUGUACCAUCCAGAUCACUCCGAACGCCAUCGCCGCGUCCUCCUUCUCCUCCUCCUCAUCGAGGGGAAGGAGGAAAGGGUGGCACCAGGGAUUGUACACCACGUCCGGGUCCGCCACCAAAGCGGCAAGCUCUUGAGGUACUGCAGGAAGCAGGAUGUAUCGCCGGUGCAACGGGUUACACACCGCGAGCUCUGUGAAUUUUAGGCGAUGAUCAUCGUUGGGUAGUGGCGGAGGAGGACGCGGCCGUCGCGACGGCCCAACGGCCGGCUCGGCGGCGGCGGGGGGAGGCGAGGAACCGCGGGGCGCGGCGGAGGCGGAGGUGGCCGUGCCGAAUGUCCUGAACGGACCAACAACCGGCCGAGCGGCCGGUCCAGCGACGAUGGGGUGAUGGGACGAAAGAGAAGGUGAAGUCAGCUUUUAGGGUGAGCCUGUAGGCGGCGGGCGCGGAGGGAUGGGGUGAGAGGGCUUCGUGGAACCGGCCGUGGGCGAGGAAGCCGAGGAAUGGUGGGGCGUGGAGGCGGCGGAAGCGGCGGAGGAAGGAUAUGUCGGCCACGAGGCGGCGGAAGGUGGCACAGGUGGCGGAGGCGCGGGCGAGGUCUUCCGGUGCGGGCAGGCGGAGGAAGAUUUCGACCUGGAGGAGGUGCUCGGGGAUAUCCAGCAGCUGCGUGGCCAUUUCUUGGCCCGCGAGCGAGGUGGGCGAGGGAGGGUGGUGAGGAGUAGCGAGUCAACGGCCGGUGAGGCGCGGAAGAUCCGCUGGUAAGAUAUCGGAGGAGCCGCCACCGGGAACCUUCGACGGCGACGCGUUGGCAAGGGGAUGAGACUGAGAUCGAGUUGGCUGUGUUUGGAAUUUAAAAAAUCUGGAAAAAAUCAUGCAUGUUCACAGCACAUAUUAAAAUAAUCCUAAAAAAUUCAGAUCAAAAUUCAAAACAUACAUCAAGAAGCAAAAAAGAGAAACUCAUAUGUGAAUAGUAUACAGAGAACCAUUCGCAAUUAUUCAUGACAGAUUUCUCUUUUUUGCUUCUUGAUGUAUGUUUCGAAUUUUGAUCUGAAUUUUUUCAGGGAUUAUCUUAAUAUGUGCUGUGAACAUGCAUGAUUUUUUUCAGAUUUUUUCGCAAUGUUUAAAUUUGAAUUUGAGCCGCAAAUCACACGGUGACAUGCAAAUCCCUGUCCUUCUUUUGGGGACAGCGAUUUCCUCAUGAACUGUCCAAAUGGGCCUUGUCCACUGGGUCCAGGCUGACCAUCUGCGUGGCCACUUUGCUUUCUCAAAAAAUAUCUUCGUGGCUACUUUGCAGGCCCGGCAUUUUAGUUUCUUUCUGUGUUUUUUUAUGAUAAUAUGUGUCUCAUUCAUAUCAUAAAAAACAAAGUACAAAUCACGUAAAGACCGACAUGACAAAACUGAAAAGAUAGUAGAACAUCUCUGAGCUUGACACCAACGCUCGUCAACUGCCUCUGGCACCACCACAACAGCCACCGAAGAAAAGAAUGACGAAUCACCAUCUCACCCGAGCUCGACGCGGCUACAUCGCUGAUAUGCAGCUUUGCAGACCUCCAAGGUGGCUCACCAAAAGUGAAGCCAUUGCCGUUGAACGAAUCAGACCGGGGCAACACCCCGGACAUGCCAUCGAACUCCAGAUCUGGCACCUCACCACGACUAAGACGCCGAAGGAGGACACCAUACCUGCCAUCCACGAACCGCGAGCCCAGCAGAUAUUCCGUCUUUCAGAUGUCGUCGAUGCAGACCACAAUCUGCAUCGGCCCCUGGACUACCUCCCAAGCUCCGGCAUUUUAGUUUCUUUUUGUGUUGUGUCUAGAAAAAGGCUUCUUUUUCUGCAGGGAAAGCUGUUGAAACCCUUAAAAAACUUGGGAAUAAAAUAUCAGCUUAAUUUACUGAAUAUAUAUGGGGACACAAAUCACAGAUUAAUUUACUGCAUAAACUAAUGGAAGCUUCCGUCGCAGCUGACUAUGGAUCACAAGCGAGAGUUCAAUGUGAUGAUGGAAGUGACAAUCAUGCCUUUCUAUGGUGUCUCCAAGCUUUGCCACCAAACACUGUAGUACUUGAGGAGUUAAACAUGUCACUCUGCUCGGGGCGACAUGGGAGCCGACGCAACCCUAGCCACGAGCUCCCUUUCCCCGCCCUUCCUCCUCGUCGCCGCCAGAGAGGCCGCCAGCGAAGACCAAGCGACCGCUAAGGACGGCGGCGACGAGGUAUGGCUACUUCAUCUUCGUGUCAAGGGCUGCAGAUGUCAAGGCGGCGGCCUCGGUGGUGCAGGGGUGUCGGCUCUGUGGCGUACGACGCUCACGGGUGCUCCUACUCCUUGGUCAUGUGGGCAACGAGUGGUUGCAGUCAUUGGUCACGACGGGUGGCCUAGUAUCCCUGGGUGCGCCAAAUCCAAAGGUCACCAUCCCCACUCCCAACCCCCUACUCCUCGCCGGGUAUGGUCCUCGACGGCCGUCGAUCGUAGGAUCCACUGAUGGUGGGGAUGCUGGAGGUGUAUACUCUAACCAAGAGAAAUCUUUGGUUGGCUACUCUAGUCAUGACGGCGUCGACACCUGCUGGUGUCAUCCCCAUUCUCUGAAGCAUCGUAGAGGUUCAAACGCCCUUCCCUCCAACGCGCAUACUCGGGUGAAAACCCUAGUUUGAUCCGUAGUAGGUGGCACCGACGUGGCAUGCGUCAUCAUUUCCUUGAAGGUGCCGUCGUGUGUGAGUCGGGGUUUGUGUUGGCUUUGUGGUGUGAUUGUCUAGCGUAUGACAGAAUCGCAAUUGACGGUGGUGCUGGGGUGCUCUAUAUCGCUAGAUCAAUAGUCUUUUGCAGCUCCUUGUGGUUUUUAGGAGCCCGAUCUGUGUUGCUGAUGCUCACGAUUUCGAUAGUCAUACUGGUGAUUUGGAGGAGAUUUCUCGAAAAGUCUUUAGUGCUCAUUUCGGCCAACUUUCCAUUAUCUUUCUUUGGUUGAGUGGCAUGUACUUUCAUGGCGCCCGUUUUUUCAAUUAUGAAGCAUGGCUAAGUGAUCCUACUCACAUUGGACCCAGUGCUCAGGUAGUUUGGCGUAUAGUAGGGCAAGAAAUAUUGAAUGGUUCCACUGCCUCGUUCGCAACAACAAGGUGUGGGUGCUUGUACAUGGUGCCAAUUACUACGCUAUGAUAUUCUUUCAGCACUGGUCAAUCCAACUCCUUUGAUGUAUAUGUUUCUUCAACGAACUCACCCAAUAGCGGUUUUGUUUCUUAGUCGGUAGAUGAAUGAGCUUUGUUGUGGCUUUGGUCGAUGAUCUUUACAUAGUGGGUUUAUCAGGCUGAUAAUUUCUCAUGGGGCUCCAGAAUCAUUACCGAUCUUUGAUCUAGAGUGAGCAUCUCCAUCUUUCGAUGGUCUGACAUCGUUCAAUCCAAAGCGAGGGGCAGGGGUCCCCUUUAGAAUUGGAGAAGGCAGGUAUGGUGACGAUGUUCACCUUUAGGGGUAGGUAAGGGUUUGUCCAUCGUCCUUGGGUGGUCUCUCCACCUGAAGUUCGCGUCAGUGCUCUAGAAGCAUGUCGAUGGGCUCCGUCAACAUCAAGCUAGCUUCUCAGUUGUUUAUAUCAUGUGUGCUUGUUGUUUUGGUGUAUGCAUGAUGUUUUGGCAUCAUCUUGUAUCUACUGUUUUCGUUAUCAUCGUUUUCUCUUCUUUUGUUAUGAAUCAAUAUGAUGUAAUUCCUAGCUGGUCGAUGUAAUUCAAAGCCAGGAUCAUCUUGAAGCCUUGUUCUAAAAAAAAUGUAAUAUUUAUAGGCAAUCUUUUUUUUUGAAGCAUAUAUUUAUAGGCAAUCUUAGCUCUAGGCCAGGCCCCAUAUCCGGGUAAAAAAAUCAGCAUGAUUUCUCUAUCAUUGUCAUGGUAUCUCUCCCUCUCUUACUUUUAUUCCUUAGAGAUAGUCUCCAAGUGAUGUGAAAUCACACUUUUUUUAGAGCAAAGCAUAGCUUUAUUACUUAACUGUGCUUAGGCAGAUCGCCCAAAACACAAACGACCACGUGGGCAGGUACAUCAGACUCCUACUCCAUGAAGUGGUUUGGUUCACACAUAUGGCCAACAAUGGCAAGUUCAUGAGCUACUGAACUUGCAUUACGUCUACAAGCAUGAAUAGUAAACUUGGAAAACCAGAGCUUCAACCGAUAUUUCAUGUCCUCGAUGACCACCGCAUACGGUCCACCUCUUGGGCAUGUCCAGCGCCUCCGCCACCAGCUGCGAAUCAGUCUCAAGCUCAACACGGAGAAUCCCCAGGUCUGCAACAGUGUGAAUAGCAUGUGACAUGGCUAUAACCUCCGCAGCGAAUCAUACAAGACUGCCAUCUGCCGUUCUCACAAGAACACCCCAUCCGGCAUGAUGUUGGCCAGGUACAAAGGACCCGUCCGCAUUCAUUUUGUAGUCAGCUUCCAUCGGGGGGGCCGCCACUUGUCUGGCUGCGGUUUAUCAGAAGGUUUGCCGAAGAUCUCCAAGUAUUCCAGCACAUUGCCCCUCGUACAACGGGCCACAUCAUUGGCCGUCAGCGGCAUCUUCCCCUCCCAGAGUUUAUUUCUGUUGGACCACCGCUGCCACCAAAAGGUGAGAACAUGCAGUCGCUUUUUCUCAUCUAGGCCUCAAAGAAAGUCGAACAUUGCAUGCACGGACCCGAUCUUCUCCAGCUAAAGUCUCACUUUCUACCUCUAAAGCUCAUGUGCAAUGGGCCAUUGUGUCUCUUAAACCUAAUUAAGAGGCAUUUAUGGAGGAAUUUUUCUUAAGGCCAUGGAUAUUAUUAGGGAGGCCACUGAAUUAGAUGAUCUAGAGGAUGCAGUGACAAUCUAGAGGAAGAGUUGUUUGUUUGCCAGCAUCGGCAGCUGAUUCCUCACUAUUCUCUCUUGAACAACAGUUUCAACAAAACAACAGAACAGGUAAGCAGUUAUAUUCUGGAGCUUGAUAAGUUUCCCACAAGCACAAGAAAAACCAACCACUACUAAGCCAUGUGAACAAGAAUGGCAGAUGACCAGUACUACCAAGUGUAGCACCGCGCAGAUUCUCAUCUUGUAGGCAAGACCACCUGGCUUCUGGGAGAAAUCCACGCUACUGAAAUACAUUCACUUUGAGCUUUGAGAACAUGAAUGUUAAUCCGACUCAUUAGGUCUGAACAAAACCGACCAAAAACGUCAGAAGGUAGAGAUGGAUUUUAAGCUCAAAUUGCAUAUCUCAAGAGCUUAUAAGCAAAACAGAACAAAACAUCAGUCUUUUAUUGGCCAGAAAUAAUAGGCAUCCAAGGCAGAAUGUCCAAUUGGUAAUAUUUGAUCUCAACUGAAUUUGGAAUAUGCAACUGGCCAACUGGAAACACUCGCAUUCAUGUGUUCAUCAUUACUAUAAUUCAGCAAUACUUGUAAACUGGAACAUAUAUUUCAACAAAAAUGGAACAUAUAGCUAGACAAAGGCAUGUAUAUACAUAAAGAAAUGAGCCCUGGACAUCCCAAGCAACGCAAAACUAUCAUAUUAAUUACUAAAACAAGAGGCAAAAAAGCCAUUACAAUCAUCCACACAAGCUAAACUAUUCAGACUUAAAAUAAAAUAUAAAGAACAUCAGUUAGCUGCAAUCCGGGUUGUGCAUGUGAUGGCUUCACCCAUGAUGUCAGCAAAGCAACAUAUUCAUGUUUUAAUUGUUCGCUUCACAGUUUCUCAUCUAGAGUUGGGCAAAGCCAUAUACCCGUUUCGACUGGCUCAAUAAGCCUGAUGUGAUGGUGAACUUCAAUAAAACAAAAGACAAAGGAGGCAUCAUGUUCUUCCACGUCGAUAAAAAUUUCUAACCCAUUGAUCGUUAAUUUUAACAGUGAAGAUUUAGGUAUUAUUGCAAAAUAAAGUUGUUCUGGCAUGUAUGCAUAUAUGCAUAUAUACGUACAUAGAAUUGGGCGACCAAUGAGAGGAUCGAACCAAUGUGCUAUGAGUGCGCGCAGCUAGCAUGAAAUAACGAAGGGAACAGAACAAUUUGUGGGUGCAAAAGUAAAGUUUGGAAGCAACAAAUCAUAUAUAAGUGUAACAAGUCAUUUCAAAUUUGUAGAAGAAAAUAUGCACAAUAUUAAGAGCAUGCUUUGACUAGAGUGGGUGAGAAUGUUGUAUCAGUGUACUUACAUGGUCUUAAUUAGAUAGCCAAGGGACAAAUACAAUUAAAGUAUGAUAGGCAUGGGUGUAAGCAAGCAUAUCUAGUCAUGACAUUGUACAAAUAAAAAGAAUAUAACUGCAAUAUAGCAAACAGUGAGGUAGGUGGAAGAAGGGAACACAAAGUUUGUAGAUACAAUACAUGUUUCGAUUUAUAUUGAUGAAACUUUUCCAAAAGAUUAUUGAUGGUAGGAAUUAAUAUAACAAAACAGUUUUGCAUGGCAAGCUAUGUACGACAAUGCCUUGAUCUUUUGUUUUCACACACAGAGUAUCUUACCAACAAUAUAGUUCACUAAAUAGAAGAAAUUUACACCAAAGUUCGAUGUAGUUCUCAUAUUGGCUCUUUUUUACAUAUUGAAUUAUUUAACAAUCUAAUAAUGUAUAGGGAACUGAAUUACAUAAAAAAAUUGUGUGGCGGCAAACAAUUGGCUGUCAAAAGAUUAAGCACAAGUUUUGGUCUAAUGUAUUUUGGCUACGAUCUUUUCUCUGUCUACCUAAUGGCUUCCCAAGACAUCUUAGACCUCAUAUAACAAAUACGCAUCAAGAGUAUCAUUUAUAGAUUGUUCAUUAUUCAUCUAAUGAUUAGGAAGUUACAAAACUAAGAAAGCAUGUUCAGUUCACUCUCUGUCUAGUAAUGUGCAGCGGUCCUAUAUUUCUAGACAUAGAGUUGCACUUUUUUUUACAACUUGAUCGAUUAGAAAAAAUAAUUUGCUGCUAGACUUAAAAUAGCAAACCUGCAAACAAAAACAUAUCAUUUUCCUAACUCCUUGUUUCUGCCAUCAGCAUUCGAUUCAACAUUGCUGGCCAAAAUUUGCUCCCCAAGCUUGGAGAAUUUGCUUCAUAUAGUGUGUCUGGUUCCCAGUGCAGCCAGAUGAAGUAGUACCAGCAGGGAGAGCAUGGGCAGAGAGAAUCUUCAGCAUCAGUCAGCGAGCACAGGCAGCGAGAAGCUUUGGCGGCCCAUAGCAAGCACAGGAAGCAAGCAACAGAGGAUGGUCAGGAGCAAACACCAGUGCGAGUUUGGUGGCAAGCAUGAAAUAAUUUCGGCGAGCACGGGCAACGAGAAGCUUUGGAGGCCCAGAGUUAGCAUGGGAAGCAGCGGUAGAGGAUGAUCAGGAGCAAACGCCGGGUGCGAGCGUGGUGGCAAGCAUGGAAAUAAUUCUGGGCUUCAUGGAAUUAAAGACGAGCAGCAAGCUCCUGGGUAAUCCUAAUUUGUGAACCAAUGUUUCUUUUUCUAGCAAUGAAAUAUCCGUGUAUUGGACUGGGCCUGCUAAGCCUCGAAGCACGCGGUAAGGUGUUUGAGAUCAAAACCAUCCAAAUGGAAGGAAAGGCUGGGAUGUACAACGGCACAAUUAUUCCUUUUCAAUUGCCUCUUUCAAAAGUAAAAUGGUUGUAGACUUAUACGAAAGUGCCAAUGUGAGCCCGAGCAGUAGUGCUCUCGUUAUCUGCACCAUCGGGUUCUCUCGUGAUGUGCACCGCCGGUCGUAUAGGCCCAGCAAUUUCACAUUUUAUUAUGGCCCAUGGCCCACCAGUCAGAUGCAGCUUUCGCUACGCCGUCAGACAUGCCACACGCGGAUCAGAAGGAGUCAGACGAUAUGAGCCGUCUCAACACAGAUUCUGGACUAACAUCGGCACCGAACUAAUUUAAUGCGUUCGCCCGUUGGUCCUACGAAUCUUCUCAACCACGCUCGUCCUCUUCAUAAUCCUGUGGAUCCACUCAAACCCCGCUCAGAUCUGCUGUUGCAUCCUAAUCCACCGGAGCCAGUGCCACCAGCCCCAUCCCUUCUCCACCAUGUCUGCAUCACCGUCCUCCGUCGGCCAGGAGGAGAUUUCGCCCCUCAUUCCAGGCCCUCACUGUGGCGCCCGGAUCAGCACCUGGAUUGUUCGCGGUGGAGCGAACGCUGGUCAUCGAUUCUACUACAAAUAAAGAGGUCAGAUUUCUCAUCAACAAUGAGAUUAAAACUCCAGUGUUAUACGCAUGGUUCGGUUCUUUAAUUUGUGUUAUGCUUUUUCCGAUUUGAUACUGUAGAUGGGGCUAUGUGGAAUACAUGAUCGAAUGUGGAGUACCGUGCUCAGUUGAUUAAGCAUUUGGGCGUGGACCGUCACUCCGUCAGGCUGUGCGCGUCCCUCUCCAACCCGCAGCUUACCUGAAUCGAAGAGCUCGUUCAGGCGAACCAGUCGAGCAAUGGAGUUGUACCGCGGAGCUGGCACGAAAUGGUCGAGCGGAGCCAUAAGCAUGCAAUGGACCGGCUCGCUUGUAGUAGCAAGCAGGCAGGCUCAUCGGUGGACACGUCAUGACUGCUUGUUAUAUUAGUCGCUGCCAACCUGUUGGUCGCAGUGUUUAUGUUAGUGGCCGGCUCUCAUGAUAGUAGUUCAUCUGCUUAGCAGAUAAGACCAAUAGACGCAGAAUAGUUAGAGGCUCUCACUAUGCUUAGGGCUUGUCUGCUGUUUUGCCUGGUUUAUCAUGGACGUCAGAUAUGCGAAUGAUCUUAGGUUGAAUCCUUUGUAAUCAGUCAUGUGUUCAGCAAUAAAUUAUGCUUCCAGUAUUACGAUUUUAGUUGCUACAGCUAUGAAAAAGAAUUUUAUACAGUGGACGUUGUACACGCGGCAUAUCAAAUCGGCUAGGGCCUGCAAUAAAUCCCACUAGCAGGCGGAAAAGAAAUACACACAGAAAAUUUAUUUUUUUCAAAAAAAAACCAUGAACUCAAUGUUGUCUGACACAUUAGGCAGUACAUUAUCUGUUCAAAACAUAGCGAGGAAAGAAAUGCACGUUCUACCAUUUAAUAAACUCACGUUUCAGUAUAUUGAGACAUAGAUAGAUGCGAUAUCCAUGCAUGAUAAGUUUGUUCAGCACAAAAGUGUGGCCACACACCGCAAGAAGUCUGAAAUUUUCAUCAUACAAGGUAGCUAUCUACUUAAUUAGUCCAGCAAAAAGACCGAUAACUGCGAUAACUGAAGCUUUAGCUACCCAUUCAAUCAUACCAAGCAAAAAAAAGAAGCUUUAGCUACCCAUUGAAUCAGACCAAGCAAAAGACAAACAACUGAAAGAACUCCAUCACUCCAAACCUGUGGAGAUUACCUUCCAUCCAUGCUGCAACAAAACAAAAAAAUUGGAAGUCAGAUUGCGCUGCUGUUUAACAAAGAAGUACUAAUUACAAAUAGGUAGAGACUAGAGAGAAAAUCAUGACGUGAAAGCGAUUACCGUUUAUGUUAAACUGGAAUGUAACAUAUACUGAAUCCCCAAGUUUUUUCCUGUCCUACUUCCUUCACCCAUGGCGUCAGUAAUAGCCAGAUAUGUUUCAGAGUAGAAUUGAUUUUGAUGAAGAAAAUGAGAAGAUAAACGACUGGCUUCAACGCAAGAGUACACAUUAACUGAAGGCUGUUGACUUAAUUGACCACAGCAAGUAUAUGGAUUAGUCUCCCCUCUUCUAUAAUAUAAUGAAAAUCAUAAGCAUUGAAUUCCAGCUAGUAGUAUCAUAUUUCAUAGAAAAGCAAAAUAACCAUCCAAACCAUCUAUACAUCAAAGAUUCAAGGUUUUGGAAAUCAAUUGGCAGACUCCCUACAAAUCAAAUUGGCAGUAAGUAAAUAACCCAAGCUGUAUUUCUGGUUUACUGAACUAGGACCCGAGACCUGGGACUGGGACUUAAAGAUACCACUGGAUGAUCUAGUUGACCAAACAGAAGUUACAUACGAGCAAAACCAAUUUUCAGAGCACUUAUUUACUUUUGUUACUGCCUUAUUUUGGUCCCGUCCAUGGUAGAAAACAAAUAUUCCCCUUCCAAAUGCAUUCAAGUCAAAAUUUAGGGACUGCCAAAUUUCAGUCGAUGUAAGUGCAUAAAUUUUACAUUCUCGUUGCUCUUUUUGGAUUAUUUGGGGUCAUCAAGUACAGUCUGCCUAAGCUACCAAGUCACCAUGUGUAUACUAUAUUAUACUGUCCAAAGAAUCUACGGGGAAUCACCAAAUGUAUAUUCUAUAUUCAAAUGAAAAAAUGGUAGUGAUAUGCAAAAUUCUAAAGUUUCAAGAAAUGGACUGUUUCCAGAUUGCAUUCGUCAUUUUCGUAACGGGCCAUGUUUUGGUGCCAACAACAAAAUAUGAUUAUGCUACCAUAGACUACUGUGGUGCACUUGCCAACACAGAGACAAUCUCACAAUUCAAUUGGUGCGAGUAUGUGGUUGAGUGCCUCUUCUAGGCAGAUCAACGGCUUAAGGACAUGUUGGCAAACAACCCAAAAAUAAUUUAGUUGGUUGUCAUUUGUUCUUGCAGGUCAGUUUCUUUAACAUGUUAUGUAUCUCGUCAGGGGUUGUGGCUUUUAUUGACGAUAGAUUUAUUUAUGUUUUCACUUUUCACAUAUUCUUUCUUGACAACAUUGACUUGGGAUGUUCAACAAGCAGCAUGAUGUCCUUCCUCGGAUAAGCGUCUUCGAUCAGACAAGCAUCAGAAGGAUGAUAACUAUGGCAACUGACAUUGGGACGAGCGUCACGUCAUAGUCGAAUUGCACGGUAAUUUUUAGUUUUCACGUCAGAUGUGCCGUAUUCGAUGAUCCAUUUAAUCUGGGUGUUCUAACUUCUAACCUUUUAAGUUUGCAAACGACAGUUCCGAUCUGAUGCAGAUGUAUGCUAUGCCCCGCUGCAAGCACCCAGAUUGCACUGAGAAAAUAGAUAACCAACCAACAGAUGUCGCCAAUCAAAAUCAAAGUCACGGGGAUCACCAGGAUCCUCAGCAAACCCGCGGACUGAUUUCUCCAUUGCUGACAUGCAUUCUAUUAGGGCACGGCCUAGUGCAGCAGCACCAAUCCUGAUCCUGAAUGAACAUAACAGUAUUUACUACAGAAAACAGAGUCUUCCAACUUCAGCAAACACCCCAAAAUACUUGAUGACUGGGUAAUUUCACAUAAAUCCAUCGAUUAACAGAUGAUGUAUUACCAUAUAGGGGACAAAAAUUACCAAACUGGAUUCUACCAUAAACGUUACAAUCCCAUUAACCUUCCCACAUUUCCAGAAUUAUUGCACAGAACUCAAUUUUGUAAUAAAGCUUUUCAUGCGACACACUUCAAGCAUGAGAAACUACUCUCAUUACCACAAGAAAAUAUACCUACGUACUAAUUUCAACCCCAGAUUCAGAUGUCAUCUAAUCAUAACAGGUAGCAGAGCAGAAUUUCAUUUCCAGCUAAAGAUGUGGCAGUCAAAAAUGCAUACCUUGGCAUCCACCCAGGAGUCUUGCGGUCAAUCUGCUCUAUGUAGUGUUCAGAUGCUUGAGCUUUAUCUGCCGUCCCUGCCUCCGCAGCACAGAUUCGUCCGCACUAGAGGCGGUCGCCGCUGGCACCUCCCCGUCCGGCAGCGGCCUAACAGGAUAGUGCAGAGGCUCCAUGGGUAUGUCGCUGUCGUUCACCUCCUCUAGCAGAGUUCUGCUGCAUGAACAGAACGCCCGAAUACAGGUUAGAUCUUGAGGUCCCUGCCUCCGCAGCACAGAUUCGUCCGCACUAGAGGCGGUCGCCGCUGGCACCUCCCCGUCCGGCAGCGGCCUAACAGGAUAGUGCAGAGGCUCCAUGGGUAUGUCGCUGUCGUUCACCUCCUCUAGCAGAGUUCUGCUGCAUGAACAGAACGCCCGAAUACAGGUUAGAUCUUGAGGAAAUACGAACCCAAAACGCGGCUGAACAACCACACCCACUGCCAGAUCCGUACCUGUUGAUCGGCUGCAUCAAAAAACUCCAUGUUCACCGGAGCAGAGAGGCCCUAACCCUAAAGAGAUGGUGGUUCCACCGGCUCGCUGCUCUCGACAGAACAAGAACAGGAGCCGCCAGGUAGAAGACAGCUGCUCCCAUCGACCCAUGGCUGCAUUUACUCUAUCCCACUGCCGUCGCUACCGGAAAGCAUCACAACUGAUCCACGGAUCAGGACGUCAAUGACGAUUCGAGCCACGGCUCUGACCCGAACUCACGACGUCGUUUCAAUUCCACGUUCUCUGGUGGGCCCUGCACCUGUCACGUGCAUUCAGAAAAACGAAUCACGAAGCCAUACCGAACGGGAUAGAUUACGAGAGCCUGUGUGCUCGAGUGCACAUACUCCGCGUCCUAGACUUAUAUUCCUUUUCAAUCGCCUAGAGACCAUAAAAACUAGUCCACAAAGAUCUACCAUUUUUGUGAAUCUAUGAGGCCUAAAAUUACAAAUGAUGCAUAAUGUCACAGUUAUUUUGUCAUGUCAAAUUAUCGUAACGGUUAUUGGAAUAAAAAAGGCAAAGAAUCGCAAUUAAAUCCCUGAGCUUGAUUAGCUCUUUGACAAGGAAGAAAAUAGCCACUACCCACUCGCAUAAACAAGAAUGACGAAUUGUGAUAAUGAGUUAUCACAAUUCAAAAAUUUGUGCGAAAACUAUGAACGAAAGCAGAUAAAUGAGAUAGAAAGUUUACCACUUCAUAUUGUUGGCGAUAACAACGAUGGUGGGAAGCUGGUGUACAAGUAUGACCUUGACGUGCCAGACCAGACAGGUUUACCCGAAGCUCAUUUAUGCUCUAUCACUUGUGCAUUUUGUUUUUACCAUCUCAGUGAAAAAUCACUAUUUCUGCAAAAUUUCAGAAACAUUUAUUAUUACAUUCCAUAGUUCGAGAGGUUAGUGCAAAUAUAUACAUGAAUUACAUUCUUAAAGAUUUCUUUGCCUUCAAGCAAUACAUCAGUGAGCAGGCUUUCCAAAUAGACCUGAUCAUGAAGGGAGAAGAAUCGAAGGACAAGACAUCAAAUCAGAAAGAAAAAAAUGAGCUCGGUUAAAAAAUAUCCUCAAGAAAAUUCAUUGAGGAUCGCCAUAUAAAAUGCUAGGGAUCAUAUCAACAAUGAAAUAAAAUCGUGAGAAAAUAAUAUUAUGGACAGAAGACAACAGUAUGUAUGGGGAUACCGAAGCCGUUAACAUAAUUGUAUUUGUAUAAAGGGUAAGCAUGGACAGAAGGGAAGUCAUCAUAAGUAAAAGUUAUGUAUGUGUGUCGAUAUAGCAAUCAUUCACUCAAAAAUUAAAUUUACGCAUUGAGGACAUUUUUGGAACACCAGAUAAACCUGUAUUCCCACUAAUUUAUCAAUAGAAGUAGCCUCCACCAAGAUUUUAAAGUCGUGCAAAAGGAGAAAGCUCAAAGAUAAGCUUGGGUCACAGCAAAAGCUUAACAUCUAAAAGGCACCAGGUUAAUCAGCACACAGCAUGAGCUAAUUAGCACGUUAGUAGCAGCUUCUCAACCUCUCGGGUGCUCAAAAUUUUAACCCCAACCAAAUACACAAGCUUCCAGAGCCUGCUCCCCCGCCACUAUUCUGCAAUAGACCAAAAACAAAUCUAUAACAAAGUAAGGAACACAAAAACUGAUUAGGAAGAUAAAAGAUUCCUUUUCAAAACAAGCAGUGUUUCUUAUUUCCAAAAUUGACCACCAUAUUAGGUGGCCGUCAUAAAAAAUAGGUGAUCAACUUUCUCCUUUUUAGUACAAAAACAACACCUUGUAUGCACAACUUGUGUAUAUAGAUACCACAUAAUAAAUUCACACCAAUAUAUAUUUCUGGGAGAAUCUCAUGUGGCCAUUCCGUAAAAUGAAACUAAAUACAUAAAGUAAACAGUAAACACCCCCGUUAGCAUGUACUAAGCAUAGCUUAUGCCAAGAAUCAUUCAAGUUGACCAAACACACUUGACUAUGACUGAAUCCAAGACUUUAAAUUCUAAUUAUGUACUUCUAAUGAGAAGUCCAAGAAAUCUGCUUCAACAAUACCAGGCACAGACAAUUACAUUAUAAUUGGAAAUUAUACUAAAUAAUGACAAACACAAAGACUCAUCUCCCAUCCAGGGGUCAACAAAAUAUAUAAUCUAAGCAAUCAUACGCCGUAAAAACCUGGAUGAACAAGGAUAAGGUCUGGCAGUACACUUGAAGUAAUUACCUGUCAGAGGCCAUCGGAAAUUAUCAGUUGAAGAAUUUCGGAAGUAAGAAAAUGGGAGUACAAGCCUCCAAGAUGCCCAAAUAAAUUGACCACAACCAGUAUGAGCAUCACCUGCACAAAAUUUGGGAUUGAGAGGAUGUCAGGAUAAUGUAAUUAUUUGGUGUAAGAACGGGAAAGAAAUAUAGGGGAACCUAGCCGAGCGCCAUGCUGAUGAAUGUUGUGUUGCCAGAGUGGAAAGAAUUAGUGAAGAGUGGUAGGGGCAUAAAUACACGUACCUGUACCGAGGCAGCGGAAGGAUGGGCACAUCACCUGCCAUGAAUGCAGAGAAACCGAAGAAUGAUUGGUUCUUCAAAUCCCAACGGAGCAGUUGUGCUCAACCAAACAGCCAUAGUGUCGGCCUACAUCUCCCGCACAGGCUCUCAUUGCCCUANNNNNNNNNNNNNNNNNNNNNNNNNNNNNNNNNNNNNNNNNNNNNNNNNNNNNNNNNNNNNNNNNNNNNNNNNNNNNNNNNNNNNNNNNNNNNNNNNNNNNNNNNNNNNNNNNNNNNNNNNNNNNNNNNNNNNNNNNNNNNNNNNNNNNNNNNNNNNNNNNNNNNNNNNNNNNNNNNNNNNNNNNNNNNNNNNNNNNNNNNNCACCCCACCCCCCUCCGCCUAGUUUACCAUAGGGCUUCAAAUUUUCCUCUGGAAAAGCAGCCCUCUAGGACUUUUUGGCCCAGGAAUCAGAAUGUACGGUGAAAGCCGGAGUAGACAACAGACUAACGGCCAAGGUUGCCCAAGUCGCGAAAAUGGAUGGCCAGAAACGCGCAGGGCGUUAGAUGGUUGGAAAGCUGCUCAGUAUUACUGUCAUAAAAUGUGGCUAAAUUUCCGUAUAUCAGAAACAUAGCUAGUCGACACAUAGUUCUUUGACCGUGAACCAAGGCCCAGAUUUCGUUUGUUAUUGUGUGAAUCACUGAAUCGAAAAUGACCUGAGUGUGCUGCGAUAACUCGGGUUGCCAAUUUUGCUGUUUGUUAACAGAAGAAAAUCCCGUCUUCUAACAUUUUCCUAGAGUGUUUAUAAAGCAACUGUUGAAAAAGCACAGUUCAACAACCACAAACCAGAGAAUUUCUUGAACAGACGAGAUAAGCAAAUCUAUAACAAUAUAAAAAAAACAUGAGUUAGGAUGAGGUUCUUUUGAUCUAAGCUCUCCAAAAAAUAUAUUUAAAAUUUAUAACUAUCAAUCCCAUGGUUGUGGGCAAAUAUUAUACCAUCUCCUAAUCAUAGGAUAUGUAUAGUUUGUUAAUUCAACUUAUUUAUUCAUGGUUACUUUCUGAUUUUAUUUUAUGUACGUGGAAAUUUAUUUCUCAUGCUUACAAUUUUCCACGUGAUAUUUAUGUAAAAGAAGCCAGUGUCAUUACUAUCGAGAUGGACAUGCUAUUUCAAGCUUAUAAACAAAUUUUCAGUCUAACAUUGAAUUCUACACCGAUAUGCAUGGCUUUAAAAAAGUAUCUGUUUGGAUAAAAAUAAUCUGGCGAGUAUACAACUGCAUCUCGACCAUCGGAGUGCAUAGAUAAAUAGGAAGGCUAACUUCUGUCCCACUGCUUUUUUUCGAUGAAAAUCUCAUAGUAGCGCUUUUUCAAACUAUAUGGUUUCAUCGGCAUGGAAGGAUGAACCCGCAUCAGAAAAUCCUGGUGCACCUUCUUCAUCCUCAUUCACCUCUUUGGCUCUCCCUUCACCACGGUUUCCUUAUAUUCUCUUGAGCUCAUCUCCCACCUACAUGCUAAGAGUCACCACCACGAUGUGGGCUUCUAGGAUCUCCUUCCUAGUAGUCGCCACCAGGAUGUAGCGUCAGGAUUCAAGUGCAUGGAUCCCUAACUCCAGCAAAGGAACAUUCAUAUAAAAGUUUGAAUCAUCAAUUUUGUCAAGGGAUGUAAUACAGUUUUGUAUUGUUAUUAUUUUUGCUAGACACAACCUCAGCCUAAGGUUCACAAAGGGAUAGAAAUAGAAAUAUGUUCUCUCCAAAGGGCAAUAUAUGGAUCUCACAAUUUCAAUAGAUGUUCCAACAUCUUCUGCGCGCAAGAAUUCUCCGCAUCCUUUACCCUUGACAUCUUAUCACUUAAAGUUACCCAAAUACCACCUUGGGCUUCUACCUGAACGGAGUAAACAAAUGUCCUAUCAUGUGCCGGGCCAUCUUCCUUCUCUAACCUGAAAAAAAAAACAAUGAAGCAACUGUGUAGGGCUGAUCUAGGCAAAAUGUCAAGUUAGAUAAUGCAACAAGUGGUAAGCAUUCAAAGGCGCUAAGCUUUCACUCGGCCCCUCCCACACACCUUGUCAAGGGUAUUCGAGCCACUAGACCAUCAUGACAAAGGACCCACCACAACAAACCAAGGACUUGCGCUAGAUAAAGAUCAGGGCUUGCCACCCACGGCGACAGCUACGCAGGACCACCCGCUUCUACUCCCCUCACAGCCACGCCGACAAAGAUAGCACCCAACACCACCGUUGCGACGCAUGUCGAAGAGUCGACCGCAUAGCCCACCAUCCAAGGCCACCACCCGGGCGUUCAAACUCCACCGUACAGAACCACUGGUGUGACAGCAGCUGCAACUCAGCCUAGCUCUUCGUGAACAUGCAAGAAACCGCCGCGCCAGAUGCACCGUAUGAGCCACAGGACGAGGCCGCAGACCAACCCUCCCGGUUAGAUUUAGCGGAGGGCGGCAACUCUAUGCGUGGGCAAGCACCCUCCAGCCAAAGCACCGACGGACCAAGGUCGGAGGUCAUGACUGCAUCGUCCCCACGCGCCGACAAUGGGAGAGAACAGCUCCACUGCAGAGGCCAACAAACGAGGCCAUGGACUGCCCUUCUUGGACAGAUCUAGCGAUGCACAUCACCUCCAUGCCUCGGCGGGCAUCUCCCAUCCCAAGGCAACGACGGGCCGAGGCGGCGGCCAAGAACGUUUAGCCCGUGCGCGCAACAGCAGGGGAGUUGCACGCCACCAUGCCCGAGUGGAACCCCAUGGCUCUCGGAACCGCGUUGUUGAUGACACCAUGCGCGGAGGUACAGAGAGGAGGAGCAAGGGUAGAGGGAGGGAGGAGUGCCCCGCCGCCGUCGUGGGUCGGCCGAUGGUCGGUGACCGCGAUGCGGGAGGACACGAAGAGAGUGGUGGUGGCGAUGGGAAAACCUAACCCGCAACCCACCCAGGAGGGCGAUGCGAGGUCCUCACAAGGGGGUUUUUCGCAUCAUCGUUUACUAAAAAAGGGGGAUAAUGAUACUACUAUUGAGCAAGAACCAUGAAGGAUCAGGCCGCCAACAAAUAUGGAAGUUAGGAUUUCCUUGAUUUGUUCCAUAUAUUGAUCUCUACACGAACACGGUAAGGUAAAGACUAAAGAUGAGGAAGGAUGGUGAUGGGUGGAUGGAAAGAAAGAUGUGUGAGUGGGUGGUUUCUGUGUAUGGCGGGGAGCGGCAUGAAGCAGGCUAGGCGCGCAAAAACAGAUAUGGGAGCGAGAUAGGAGAUGAAUGUUACAGGAAGUGAGGAAGGGGAAAUGUGGGCAUGGGCUUCUAGGAAGGAACACGAAAGCGCUGGAGGGAGUGUGUCAAUGCCCGAAGGACCAUCGGCGGGCAUGGGAGAGAAUGGGAUAAAGGAAAGAUAUAUGCCCAUCAAAUUUUCUAUUUUUCUGAUUGGUUAAGAUAGUAGAUCACUGCAAGGUUGCUCAAUGCAUACAUACAAUAAUCAUGUCAAGUAGCUGCCGCUUUAGUCAAAAUAACUUUGUGAAACACAAAGAUGGGGGAAACUAAAAAAGUGCACAAUUUUUACUUAAGGUGGUGUUUUAGACGUUUUUGGAGUUCUAGGUUGAAAAGACAUACUCAAGCCAUAGUUUAAGGUUGAAAAGUGUACACUUUUUUCAUUUUAGAAAUGCCUUAGCACUAACUAAGAUGCUAAAAUGUACAAAGAAUGAUGAAUUGAUUUUNNNNNNNNNNNNNNNNNNNNNNNNNNNNNNNNNNNNNNNNNNNNNNNNNNNNNNNNNNNNNNNNNNNNNNNNNNNNNNNNNNNNNNNNNNNNNNNNNNNNNNNNNNNNNNNNNNNNNNNNNNNNNNNNNNNNNNNNNNNNNNNNNNNNNNNNNNNNNNNNNNNNNNNNNNNNNNNNNNNNNNNNNNNNNNNNNNNNNNNNNNNNNNNNNNNNNNNNNNNNNNNNNNNNNNNNNNNNNNNNNNNNNNNNNNNNNNNNNNNNNNNNNNNNNNNNNNNNNNNNNNNNNNNNNNNNNNNNNNNNNNNNNNNNNNNNNNNNNNNNNNNNNNNNNNNNNNNNNNNNNNNNNNNNNNNNNNNNNNNNNNNNNNNNNNNNNNNNNNNNNNNNNNNNNNNNNNNNNNNNNNNNNNNNNNNNNNNNNNNNNNNNNNNNNNNNNNNNNNNNNNNNNNNNNNNNNNNNNNNNNNNNNNNNNNNNNNNNNNNNNNNNNNNNNNNNNNNNNNNNNNNNNNNNNNNNNNNNNNNNNNNNNNNNNNNNNNNNNNNNNNNNNNNNNNNNNNNNNNNNNNNNNNNNNAUGGUCUGGACAAGUAUGUUCCAGACCUAGUGACCUACCGAGGUCAAAGUACUAUUUACCUAGUAAGGUUCUGUAACAGAAAUAGUAGUUCUGGACCAGACUUGUCCAGACAAUCACUCAGAUCAGGUAUCUCUUUCCCACGUGUUCAUGCUGUAGUGUUUGGCAAUCAAACCAAACUAGUGGUUUCUAUACUGCAUCUGAGUGAUUGUCUGGACAAGUCUGUUCCAGACCUACCGAGGUCAAAGUACUAUUUACCUAGUAAGAUUGUUUAACAGAAAUGACCAAAAGUUACUACCCUAAGAUAAAUGGGAACAAGGGUGAAAUUACAAUAAAGAAACAAAAUAAAAUGUGCAGCAGUGAAACAGUUCUAAAGAUGCCCAGAACAAAAUAUAUGAUCAACAAACAAUUGUAGUGUAGGUGUGGGAAAGAGAUGCCUCAUCUGAGGAGCAUUGCAGGAAAAGUUCAACUAAUGAACAGGAUAUAUAAAACUAAAAACUGACAGAGUAGUCAAGAAUCUUACUUAAAGAUGGGUUUUGGCCAAUGCUUCCUGCUGCACUGCUCAAUAAGCUUCUGCUUGCAUUCCCUAAGCUCUCCAACCUCAACCCCCAAUCCAUGGCCAACUCCAGUUGUCAAGACUUGCUGAUUGCCUCCACCAAGAAGCUUGCUUAAUGCAUCCCGUGUGGCAUUGAGCUUAGCGAUUACCAUCUGCUCUGAGGACCCCAUCCCAACAAGUGCCCCACCAACAAAUACAUUUACAACCGUUGUUCCACCCUUCUGCCAAGUCUUGAAUUUUACAUCUUUCCCAUGUUUCUGGCACAGUUCAUGCAACAUAGACACAGGUUGCUCAUCUAUUGUUUCUGCCGUGACAAUGGGCUCAAAGAGGAACCUUGUUACCUACAUAAUAAACAGUGAUAUCAUUAUCACCACCCAUUAUUCUAGUGAACUACUCUCUUCGUAAAUAAAUAUGUCGUUUUAGCGAGCAGAGGUCCAUUUUUUUUUAACUUUCACAAAUAUUAUUGGUAAAGCUAUUUUGGAGUGGUCAUACCAAAAUGAAAUCAUACGAUUCUUCAUAGAAAAUUACAUAGAUUUUUAUCAGCGUAUUAUGAUUGGAAUUAUUAGUUAAGUUAUUUUCUAGAAACCUCAGAUCAACAUAUUAAUGAAUGGGAAAUAACAUGAAAGAUGAAUUACAAACCUUCCAGAGCUUCUCAAGAUUAAAGUUGCAAUCCACAUAGACAGCAGCAGCAAUGGCCUCAACCAUAUCAGCAAGCACCUUGGGAGCCUUAAAUACACUGCCACCAUAGGGCGUAGUGCCAAGGUCAUCCUCUAACUCUUGUUUCACUGACUGGAUAAACUGUCCUACCUGCAUAAAGGUAUACUCAGUAACAUAACAAUGGUAGCGAAAAACAGUUCAUCUAAUAUCCACAUCUCCAAGAGAUAACAUCAAUCACUUAACAAUUGAAAUGUAUUGUGCCUUAUGAACCCGAAUGGAGAGGCGGGAGUACUUACCAAUUCCUGUUUCAGCAUUGCUAAAUACAGUAAUAAACUUAUUCUUGCAUCACUAAAUCAAAACUAAAAUGUGGCGAGAGUUGCUAUAUAUAGAUGUUUAGCUCUAUGUUUUACCCUCAAAUUAAGCUCGUCGAAACGCUCGAGCGGACAGUAAAAAGUGGAUGAUUUAUUUAUAUAACAUCUAUAUAUAAAAACAGAGUCCCCAAAUAUAUGGCUUCUAACUCAGGGGAGGAGGAUCCGAGGAUGCUUAAGUGGCACAUACCAACAGAUCGAGGCGAGGGCAGUUGCGUCGGAGCAGCGGGUAGAGGUCGUGGCGCACGGCGACGCGCGCCAGCUUCUCGGUGGAGAUGUUGGCAGCCCGGAGCGUGGAGAGCGCGCCGGGGCCGACGGUGGGGUUGGUGAGGUAGAGGAAGUUGGAGAAGGCGAGGCCAAGCGCCGCGUCCCCGACGAACUCGAGCCUCUGGUACGAGGCGGCGGCGAAGGACUGGUGGGUGAGCGCCUCCUCGAGCAGGGAGCGGUUGUUGAACUGGUACUGGAGAAGCCGCUCCACGCGGGCCGCCGCCUCCUCCCUGUCCGCCACGAAGCCCGGCGGCGGCAGCGUGACGGGGGCCGACGGCGCAGGCGGCGAGGCGCGGCGCUUGCGGGAGCCGGGCUUCAUCAUCUCUCCCUUGUGUGCCGGUGCGCGUGACGGCGUCUUGCUAGAUCGGGAGGGGGAGAUGAAAUUUUGGAGAGGAGGCGCCAGCCGGAGUUUGGCGGCGUCCGCCGGAGUAGAGUGCCGGGCGGGCCUGUUGCUGCUGCUGGAGACCGGGGCGGGGGCGGGGCGGGUCACGCCAACGGGAGGAGCAGCGGAGGAGGAGGGACCCUACCCGCCCGCCAUGUCGCCGGAAGGAGCUGCGCACAAGGGACCGGCGGCGGCCUGGAGGAAACCUAGCGAGGGUUUCGCNNNNNNNNNNNNNNNNNNNNNNNNNNNNNNNNNNNNNNNNNNNNNNNNNNNNNNNNNNNNNNNNNNNNNNNNNNNNNNNNNNNNNNNNNNNNNNNNNNNNNNNNNNNNNNNNNNNNNNNNNNNNNNNNNNNNNNNNNNNNNNNNNNNNNNNNNNNNNNNNNNNNNNNNNNNNNNNNNNNNNNNNNNNNNNNNNNNNNNNNNNNNNNNNNNNNNNNNNNNNNNNNNNNNNNNNNNNNNNNNNNNNNNNNNNNNNNNNNNNNNNNNNNNNNNNNNNNNNNNNNNNNNNNNNNNNNNNNNNNNNGGGAUCGAGGGUUGCGAGCGGGACUGGGCUGUUUUUUUUUUUGCGCGUGGGGGCUGCGGGCCUGCCAGUGGCAUUUUUGUUGUAAUAUGCUCAAACAAUAGUGCCAUUUCCCCAUACCCCUUCGGGUUUAAGUGAAAAGCUGCCGGAAGGACCCCUCCCCCAUCAUUUUUCUAUUGUGAAGGGAGUGAGGGUGGAAAUAAGUUAAGGAGGUGUUUGGUUUCAGGGACUUUUUUGUGUUGGGACUAGAAAAAGUUCCUAGUAAACCAAACAGGAUGGGACUUUUUUAGACUUUUUGUUAAAAGUCCUUAGAAGCACCUCCUUGAGAGUCUUUUUCAAAAAGUCCUAGGGACUAGAAAAAGUCCUAGGACUAGAGAACCAAACACCACCUAAGUUGACCUUUACCUUUACAAAACGAGUUCUUUUGCACUUUUGGCUUAUUUUGACAAUUAAGAACAGUAAAACUCAGCCUAAACCGAGCUCUUUCAGCAAUUAGCGCUUUCCGCUGUCCGUUUUUCUGAUCAAACUAUUUUCGGUCGUCCGAUCUAAUCUGUACCCCACGUUUCACGCACGUCUCCACGCGCCUGGGCUACUCAUGGGCCUACUGUUCUGUGGGCUGCUAUUCCCGAAACUAUUUUGGAGCCCUCUCGUUCUCCUACACAGUCUAGCAUAUGAUCCUGAGCGAACGGUUGUGAUACGCGCACCUCACCCCUCCCCUCCUGGCCUGCCUCUUCUCGCUCCCAUUCGUUUCCCACGCAGAUAACAAUGGCGACGGCGGCGGCGGCGCCAUCGGGGCGGGGAAGAUGGCGGCGAGCUGAAUAAUGGCGAGUCCGACUUCUUCGUGUCCGUCUGGCGCUGGCUGCGGUGUUGGCGACAAUCCGGGGGCGUUUUUGCGUUGCGGAUCCGGGAGACCGGAGGCCCUUGCGGUGGGUCUCGCGUUCGGAAGCUUCGCCGGAUGUGGUGAUGGUGACCGGAGCGGAGUCGGAGUUGGGGCUACAGGCCCUGUUUUCGGAUUAUGGUUUGUGGUGGUUCAUCUAUCUUCGUGUCUUUGGUGUGUUGGAGCCAUGAUGAAGGUAUGGAGCUGACUUUUCCGUGGGGAUUGUCCCCGACCGAUAUGCCGGAAUCUGACAUCGGUUCCCGUUGGAUGGGGAAGGACCUAUUAUGCGGCCUCAAAAGCCAUAGAUGGCGAUGCGGGGAAAUGGCUUCUUUCGGCUCGAGCAGACGACGAGCGGCCGGCCGGCAGGUGGUUAAGGCGAGCCUGGAGUUUAAUGUUGUAAGGAUCGUUGUGCUUAGGUUGCAGGGCUUGUGGUCUGUUUCCGUCUUUGUUUGUGUACGGAGUGCUUGUAUUUGUUGUUGUCAUGUACUGCGUAUAAGAAUAUGAAUACAAGCAUCCUUUUCUAAACAAGAGACAAUGGCGACCGGGGCGCAUCAGCUUCCCAUGCUUGUCGCAGCCUCCCCGCGUGGGACCCAAUUGGGCAUGCUGCUGCCUUCCAGUGGAGCGCCAGAUUCGUGUGGAGCCGCAGCGAGCAGCAUGGUCCUCCCGGAGUCAUCCACAAGUGCGUGCAGCAGUAACGGUGGCAAAUCCAAUCCAUAUGUGCUUGUUUCAGGAGUGAGCACUAAGUCGGUGGCAAAUCAAACCGAUCUGCUUAUUCUACUUCGCGAAGACUGCAAGGUGUGUACUGCCUUCUAUACAGUCUGUAGGAACAAUAUAGAUAAAUUAAUUUGAACUUUGGAAGGAUUUUAUGUGGUUUUGGUUCUAGCAUCUUCCUGCAGGAGUUCUGAAACUGGAGACGUCUUGGGCGAUGGAGGCCAUGCAUACAGUGGCGCUUAAGAUCAGAUUGUUUGCAGGUGAACUAGAUGGUUGGCAUCGGUUCGUAGUUGUACUGAGGUGUAUAUGACCUUUAUUAUCUUGAACCUAAUAACCUAUGAUUAUUAUUUAAUGCUAACUUUUGAACAAACAGCAGCAACAUAGAUUUAGUGAUCUUCUUUAAUCACAGAAUAUUGUAUCACCUCUGUUUCAAAAUAUAAGAUGUUUCGGUAGGCUAAACUAAGCAUACCAAAACCUCUUAUAUUUUGGAACAGAGAGGAGUAUUUGAUCACUCAACUACAUAUCUCGAAUGCAGUUUACCAGACCGAAGCUAGCAAAUUAUGGGCAUGUACCUAUUCGUUUUAAAACCCUUUCAAUUAUGCACAGACAACUAGCAAAUUAUGAGCAAUCUAUGUAUUUAUUUACCGAACCUUGCAACUAUGAAUGGACUAAUCAAUUGGAAGAUAGUUUUGUUGGACCAACCAUAUGAUUGCUCACUAAGCAGCAUUUCAGCAAGUAGAUAAUAGUAAUUCAGGUAAAGGUUCUUUUUGCUAUGCAAAAUAUAAAAUGGGCAAGUCACUUUCUCAAGUAGUUUGGGGAUGUCCCUUGGGAAAUAGUACUUGCUUACUCGAUUUUGUGCGUAGUUCGAACAUGGACCUUAGAAGGGUGAUUUUGCUAGAUUGGAGGUUAAAUAUAUUUCUUUUUUGCAAACAAGUUAUAUAUUCCUUGAACAAAAAUCUACCUAAAUUUAUGUUGGAUACCUUCAUAUAUCUUCAUAUAUUUGGCAAGAUUGCUUUUUCAUGCCAGAUUCAGAUUCAACCAAGUGACGAUUCCAACUUGGUCACAGAAUCAGAAAACGCCUUGCAGUCCUCUUCUACCACAAGCACAUCACCUCUUCGGCUCUUCGUUGUUUCCCUGGUAUAACAACACUGUUCAAACCAUUUCCUUGGAGACAAUACAUUUUAAUUUGUCUUACAAUACCUACAAUUUUCUUCAUACAACAAUUCCUUCACCUGCCAUUGAACUCCACCAAUGCUGGAUCUACAACAAAUAGACAAGGAACCAGAGGUUGACUCCCAAUCUCUCUUUUUAUGGAAUUAUGCUGCAAACUAUGUACUAUGUAUCAUGAUUGGAAUAUACAGGAAUCAAGGUGAUAACGAGGAGAUUUUACUUCAUAUGAUGUUUUGGUGAUAUAAACCAGCAAGAAGAUCUUCUUAGAGGUAUAUACAACUUUGUUUUCAGCUUCAUUGAAGUCAGCUUUAUUUAGACAUGGAACACAUUUGAAGGUAAACCUUUUCAAAAUCCUCAAUCGACCUGUUUUAUAUUGUACAGUUUGACAUCUCUUGCACAUGAAUGACUAUUCAUUGAUAGUGCCUGCAAAGAUGUGGCUGUAGUUGUUUCUUUGUCUGCACGAUCAUUCUUAAAUUUGUGACAUAUAGAUUGGCUCUCACGCAUACCAUCAUAUAUCUAAGAAAAUAAAUUCAUAUUACAUUGAAGAAAGGGACGGGCGCGGCAACGCGCGCCAUCAAUGAUCUAGUAAGCUACUAAAGCUAGAAAAGAACCUGCCUAAGAAACCGAAAGGAAUCUGAGUAGAACACGGGUGCGGUAGCACUUGGAGGAGUGUCUCCACCAGCAGAAAGAAAACGGAAAAGUAACUCGCGACCGUUCGCCAGGAGGCCAGUCCCGACGAACGCACUCUCUCCCGUCGGAUUGGUAUGCACGGAUCUUGUCGCACCAUCGGAGCCACAUCAGUUUUUUUUAAACGCAUUCGCUAUAAGAUGAAAGACAGCGAACACAUUACCAUUGGAAACACUACAGCCCCGCAGUGGUUAGUGACUACCCCCCGAGACUUCGUAUUGCACUCUAAUCUCUCCUCUUUUUUUCAUCAGAUGGCAAUUUAAAGAGGGCAGAAAAAGAGGCCCAUCUUACGCACGCAAAGAAAAAUGACAUCCUUUUUAAAUAAAACAACAACGUAGAUAUGAAAUUGAAAUUUCAUAUAUAUGCCAUGGGAACUAAAAUAGUGAAGUGCAUUGUAGGUCCCUAAACUAUUUUAGGGGUAUCAUGUAGAUUCUCAAACUAUGAAAAUCGGCAUCCAGGUUCUCGAAGUGCAGCGUGUCAUUCAGAAUCAAAAUUUGUCAGACCAUGCCUGACCGGCCAGCUGGCGCAGUUGACCCAUGACACGUCGGACAUGGGGCCCUGCAAGGUAAAGGUCGGUGAUGAAAAUAUGCAAAAAAAAACAAAUAAAUUCCAGGAAUGAUAAAUGCACUUCACUCCAAAUAGAUUUAAAUUCAUGGUUUCAAAAAAUGUUCGCGAAUAUGGAAAAAAUGUUCACGGCUUUAAGAAAUGUUCGCGAACGAUAAAUUUGAACAAAAAAUUCACGAACAUAAUUCUAAAGUUGUGAAUUUUCUUGAAACCAUGAACAUUUAUAUUAAUUAUUUUUUUGUAAAUUCAUAAACAUAUUUUAGAAUUCAUAAAUAUUUUCUUAACCUCAAACUUUUUAAAAAAAAUCGUGAAUAUUUUAAAAAUUCACAACUUUCUAAAAAUCACUAAUGUCUAAAAAAGAUCAUUUAUGAAAUUUGUGCAAAAACAAAUACAAAUACAUCGUUCGUGACUUUUUUCAUAUUCGCGAACAAUUUUGGGGGCUCACGAACAUAUUUACAAAUUUAUUGCUCACAGACAGUAUUGGUGGUUUGUGAACAUAUUUUUUUUUCUUUUAAAAUUUAUCAUUCGCAGAUAUGUUUAUAAAGUUGUGAAUAUUUUUUUUCUAUAUUCAUCGGAUGCGAACUUAUUUUCAAAUUCAUCGCUCGUGAACAUUUUUUUUAGUCACGAACAUUUUUUCCAUAUUCGCUGACAAUAUUCAUGGUCCGUGAACAUAUUUUAAAAUUUAUCUUUCAUGAAUACUCUUUAAAGUUGCGAACAUUUAUUCCAUAUUCGCGAACAUUUUUUCUGUUGUUCGCGAACAUAUUCCAAAUUUAUCGUUCGUGAAGAUAUCUUAUUUUCUUUUAAAUUUAUCGUUCGUAAUCACUUUUUUAACGUCACUCAAAUUCAUCGUUCGUGAUCAUUUUUCUGAAGUCGCGAACUUUUUGCAGUACUUGCCAACAUUUUUAUUAUUUAAUGAACAUUUUUCCAUAUUCGAGAACAUUUUUUGAAAUAAUGAUUUUAGUUUAUUUGCGCAUUUUUGUCACCAGCCGUUACCUUGAGGGCCCCCCUGUCUGACGUGUUACGGGUCAACGACGCCAGCUGGCCGGUUAGGCAGGGUCGGACAAUUUUUAGACUUGAAUGACACACUUACUGCACUUCGAGAAUUUGGAUGACGAUUUUCAUAUUUGAGGACUUACAUGACACCCAUGAAAUAAUUCAGGGACCUACAAUGUACUUCACUCGAACUAAAACAAUCAUCUAAUUUGACCAUGGCCCCUACCACAUCCAGGGCCAUGUCUAACUCCUCUUAACCAGGUUGCUCACAUAUCCUUAAAGACAAGGGGCGGCGGGGGAAGGGGUGAAUCCCAUCGCCGUACUCUUUGUACAUGUGACCAAGGUUUCAACACAACGAGCAUCAUUUUGGGAGUCGUUCAUAUUUUACGCGAAAGAUCUAGCGCUUAUUAUUUGGGAUAAGUGAAACAACAUUCUUCGUAUGUUUAUUAACAUUGAUCUUAACUUCAGCUUUGGAAAAAAUCCCUCAAAAUCCUGCGACUUGGGCUCAACAUAGAUAAAUUUGCUAACCUUCCCUGCUAGUGAUUUCAGUAACAACACAUACUCAUCUGGUAGGUCAUGGAUUUAGGUCCAUAUCUUUAGAGAAUCGAGCUUGAUCGGCAAGAGUUAUGUAAACCCUUCGUAUGGCGCCAACACCACGAAAAUUCCAAGGCCCUUCUUCCAUAACCCGUUUCGAAUCGUCAAGGCAAUAGGACUCAAGGUGUAAAGGUUGUCGUUCAGGGGGCGAAAGGUCACCUCCUUGGCAAAAAUCGACGCCACUCUCAUGUUCUUCUAAAAACAGUAUUGGUUGUUGGGCUUGUCCAUAUGGACUCAGGCAAUGGCGGCUAUCCAUCAUGUCAAAUUAGCCGUCAGUGCUUCAUCCUGUUCCACAAAAACAUCAUGGAGGUCGUCCUCUCUAAGCCCAAGUUACUUCAUCAAAGCAUCCACCUCGCUCAUGUUAGUACCCAAGUCAGGAGCUUCGUUGUCGAUGACGGAAACCUAGCCCGAUGAGAAGAAAUUGUCGGGCGUCGAACCCUAGGUCCUCUGAAUCUACCGCGGGUCCGGCCAAGACCGGACAGUGAUCUAUAGGAUCGCCUCAUGAUCAGUGUGAGUCGGUCCUUAUGGGAGAUUUAGAGGCAUGGGAGGCAAAAUCUCAACGAUGGCAUCAGCGCCGCUGAGAGGAAAAGCCAACCCUAGCGUGAGGGGGAAAAGAGGUCUUGAUGAUGUCCAAUAGGUUUUUUUAGACAAUGCUGGUGUCCAAUAGGUGAUCCGCAUCGGAAUUGCCCUAAGGCUUGGUUUACUGCGUGUGAUGUUAUUUCAUGUAAACGAAAUUUUAAUGGUGUGGCCCAUGAGUUGGCCCAAAUAAGUGUGUGUGUGUGUGCACACGCGCAGGGUCCCGCUGUUAUUGAGAGUAUAAUGUUCUAACAUAUAUUGAUAGGCAGAUUCAAAAAAAAAUUUGUUGAUAGCCUUAUAAUAGCCGAUUUGCCAACUAUUAUGCCAUAAUAAAGCUUAUGAUUUUCCUUAAAAGAAAUUGCCAUUUCUUAAUGUCCGGAUGACCAAAAGGUCGAGUUAUAUUAAAAUGACAGCAAAUAAAGUAACAUAGGAAUAGCAGAGGCUGAAAAAUGAAGGCUCUCAGCGAGUCGUUCUGACAACGGUGUAGUGACCGUUCGAUGGCCCAAUGACCUUGAUGUAUAAGUUUUAUUAUAUUUGAAAUAUCUUCUACGCCAAAAUUUUAUAAUAGAAUGUUGGUAUAAAAAAGGUGAAGGCUCAGAAAAAAAAAAUCCCCGCAAAAAAAGGAAAAAAAAAGACUGACGUCAAUCCGUACUUUUAGCCCCCCUCAUGCUGAGUUAACAGCAACUUUAGGUGACAGGCCUGUGGCUUGGCCCAGCCAGAAAUACGUGAUGACUGCUUUUUGCCUCGGCAGACCCUGUACCAGCAAGCUGGUGUAUAUGCUUGCGUCGUCGGCAAUACGUGGGUCACUACCAGGCUAUUUAGACCGCGACGUAGGCUUCGUAGCGAGCGGUGUGGUAUACACGCCCAACCUCGUUCACGGCCCAGCGAGCCACCUCGAUCGUCUUCCGUCCAGCUAAGCUGUGCCUUUCCCUGGGAAAAAAAGUUACGUACUCCCUCCGUCCGGAAAAAGUUGUCCACAGCUUAGUUCAUGUCAAAUUUUACAAAAUAAUCCUUCCGCUUUUAAAUCUAGUGCUAAUCCCCCCCUCGCCUCUACUUCUUCCUCCUUCGACCAAGCAGCCGUCGUAGCCACCCCCGGCAGGCACCGUAGAAAGAGCGGGCGACCACCUACGCCGACGCCCACCUGAGCCGUCGCCCACCUGCGGUUGCUCCGCCACUGCGAACAUGGGCCGCCCGCACGGAGGCGAGCUGCCCCGCCGCCCAGGUGAGGCUGCUCCUCCAAGGCGACCACCUCGACGGGCGCCUCCUCCUCGUGGCCCUGCUCGCGUCCCUGGUCCGGCUCGUGGCCCUGCUCGCCGGUUCCUCACCCGCGCGGCAACCCCAGCCGCCGCUGCCGACCCGGUCGCCGCUCCCCUCUUGAAGAAUUCAGCAGGCAGCCAUGCAGGGCAAGGCGGAUCUUCUCCGGCGGCGAGACGACCACGCAGACAUGCUGAUGCCACUGCCGCUGCCGCGUGCCCUCCACUGCUGAUUGCCUCUGCCCUCAACCACCUCGACUGUUGAUUGCCUCUGCUGCUGCUGUUGGCUGCAGGUACAGUGCCAAUUGCAGUAUCAAUUUCAGUUUGUCAAUGAAGUACUCCAUCAGCGUCAAUUGCAGUGUUAAUUGGAGUAUUAAAAUUGUCAAUUGCAGUGUUGAUCUACUGCUGAUGUUAUCUGAAAUUUACAGUGUUCUGUGUCUGUCAAUCAUACUCCAUUCUUGUGUCUGAAAUUUACAGAUUUGAAACAAACAGUAUCAAACUUCAAGAAACCUAGACAAUAUUCAUGCCCAUAAUCAUGGAAACCUCUAUUCUGCUUUGCCAAAUCAUGGACAAGAUUCAGUUAGCUAUGUGUGUGAUGACUUGUUGCUGCUAGCUUGAGAAAAUUCAGUUAGCUUCAGAAACUAAAUCAUGUUGAUGUUACUGUUAGCUUGUGAGCAGUGAGAACAUAACAAAUAACCAUGUUGCUGUUACUGUUGCUACCUGAAUUCCAUGCUUGCAUAAUUACAGAUAUCUCAAAACUGAUGCAGGUUAAGUGUUAACACAACACUGGCAUACACAACAUAAUUCUGAACAUUUAUUAAUUCUACACAGGAGAAGAAAAGACAUGGCACACUAGAGAAAAAAGAAGAAGAAAAGUUGCUAUACCCCUUUACUGAACAUUACGUAGAUCCAUCCAUUUUCUUUUGGCCACAACAAAAAAAUUCAAAUAAAAGAGCAAUUUGGCCAUAACAAGAUCUCCUUUCAUCUUUUGUACUCUUGGUCAGAUUUAGGAACAGUUUCAGUUAACAAACAUGUCGAUCCAUUUAAUUCAAAUAUCAUCAGAUACAGUAGAGUACAAUGGAUCAAUUUCCCAAGAGAAAAAAUGUUCCAAGCAAUCUGUAUCAUCUGAAACCAUUGUACUGUACCAUCCCAAAACUGACGGAGAGUGGAUUCUUCUGCUUAAUUAAGUUGAUCCAUUGUACUGUAUCAUCUGAAAAAAAUGUUCCUAGCAAUCUCUAGUAGUCAUGGAUUCUUCUUUCCGGCACUGGUGGAAGUUGUGUGUUCGACAUGUUGUCGGCAAGAGUGGGCUUAGUCAUGUGUGCUUGAUUGUGUGGGAGUGGACUUGGCCCUUGUUGUAUCGGUUUUCGCCCGGUUUUCCACUAAUUAACUGGGCCAUUCUCUUCUGCUUAAUUAAUAGAUGAGGCAAAGCUUUUGCCUCUGUUUCGAAAAAAAAGAUGGGGAGAUGACAUUUGAUGGAAAGCUUGGCAUUUGGCUGUUCGUGGUACAGACCGAGGCACAAAGAACCAGCCACAACAGAGUUAGAGGAAAAGGAAAAGGAAAAGUUGGAAUUAUUUGAAUUAAGUUGGAUUUAGUUGAAUUAAGUUGGAAUUAUUUGAAUUAGCUAGAUUCUUCUUCUUCUUAUUCUUCUUCUUCUUCUUCUUCUUCUUCUUUUCUUCUUCUUCUUUCAGAAUUAGCUAGAUUAUUUGAAUUAUUUGAAUAUAGUAGAAUUAUUUCAAAUUAUUUGGAUUAUCUGGAUUUAUUUGAAUAUUAUGAUAAGAUGUAAAGACAAAACUCCAGUUGAGAGAAAUAAUAUCUUCAAUAAAUACUCCCUCUCUGUGAAGUUCACAUGUACAGGGUCAUUACAAGGAUGGAGAAGAAGAAUAAUCUAAAGCAUUAAUGGCUAACUAAUUUGGAGUACUGUCUUGGUUAGAUUCUUCUUCUUCUUCUUCUUCUUCUUCUUCUUCUUAGAAUGAUGAUUGUACCAAAAAGAAUAAAUCAAAUUCAGUUAGAUGAUCAUUGAAACUGAGAAUGAUGAUGAUCAUUGAAAAAGUCAGUGAGAGAAUUCAAUCUGAUGCAGUACUCCACUUUACAAAUUGAGCUUGAGUAGUUAAUUACAAAAGCAAAUCCCCAUGGAACUGAGUCUUUAUUAUCACAAAACGAGUAAUUUCCAUCAAAUUUGCUUCAGGAGUAUUUGGACACAGCAACUUACACUUUUAAGUUUCUCUUCUUCAGAAUAUUGUCUAACUUAGAUGGGCUGUAGUCAUGUCCAAAUUUACAUCAAAGUACAUAUUCAGAGUUAAACUGAAUUUACUAAAUUCUGAUCUUUUAGUUGUCAUGAACCAAGAGACUGUACUGUAACAACUAAAACGUUAUAAAGCCAAUGAUUGAACUUGUGGAAGAAUUUCAACCACACAAGACUGUGAUUCUCACCAAUAUCGAGGACUAGCCACUGCAAUUAUAUCUUCAAUUAAAAUAAUAUCAGUUUUCAGUUUUUAGUUUACCAAAUUCAGUUAAAAUGACAGCAAUUUUCAGUUUUGGACACAUUCUGUUUCUGUAAAAUGGGAGAAACAAAUUUGAUCCUGCAGCAAAAAGAACUGAACUGAACAUACUGAACUUGCACUAACUUUUGACAGCAGAGUUAAAAUUAUCAUACUCUAUAUACAUGCACAAAUUUGAUCUCUGUGACCACAACAACAACAUAUUCAGUCUAUCUAGACUGAACCUUCUGCAUCAUGUGUUUGGCGAGCAUGCAGUACAACCUUCCAGAGCAUGCCACCCUGCUGCCCUUCUUCUGAUGGAUCUUCACUGCAGUUCAGGACAUGCUUGGCGAGCAUGCAGGGGAGCUUGCAGGGGAGGUGAGGCGUACUGCGCCAGCCACGACGCCUCCGAGGUCAGCCUCUUCUUGGUCCCGUCGGUGGCCUCGUCCUUGUACGCGUAGGGCUCCUCCUGCGUCUCCUGGCUCUGCAGCGACGCUGGCGUCUUGCCUCGUCGGAGGAGCACCGCCAGUAGGAGGAGGAGCACGUCAGAGGCCAGCGACACCGCCGUGUAUCCGGAGGCACGGAGGGGGGCGUCGGAGGCCAGCGAUCUGACGGCGGUCGCUAGCAGCAGCGCGCUCAGGUCCGCCCGGCCUCGGCGCACAGCAUGUCGGAGCCGGCAAAUCGAGAGCUUUGCAGAGAAGGGGAUCCAUUUCCUCUUGAUCUCCCCUCCCCUCCCCCCUCGUCGGGAUCAGGCAACGCGGACGAAGAAAGGCGGCGAUAUGAAGGGGAGAAGGCGGCCGGCGCGUGGCGAGGCGACGGAGCAGGCGGCCGGGGGUGAGGAUGUCGCCGUCGCCGUCGCAAGAUUGAGGAGGGGAGGAUGGGGGGACGCGGUGCGGGCUGUGUCGUUUGUCGGAUUAAUGCGAGGGGGGUUUUCACAAAUUGUCAUCGCGGACAACUUUUAUCGGACGGAGGGAGUACUACUGUAUUAUACACAUGCAAAUCGUCACGCAUGCUCCAUCUCGCCGACGACUGAGCACCAUGCCGACCUCAUACAUCUCUGAUUAGUUUCAAAGCUACGUACUAUUGUAUUAUGCACACGUGCAAAUUUUUAUACUAGCCUGUUGUAACAAGAUGUAGUAAUAAUCAAUCGUCUAAAAAUAGUUUCA